CAGGAAAAGCACCUGGCUCCUGGCUCCUGCCAUCGGAUCAGCGGAUGCGCCGGCCGCAGCGUGCCGGCCGCGGCGGCCAUUGGAGGGUGAACCAACGGCAAAGGAAGACCUUUCUCUCUGUCUCUCUCUCUCACUGUCCACUCUGCCUGUCAAAAAAAAAAAAAAAAAAAAAGACUCAGCUUGUAAGGGGCCAGCACUGUGGCAUAGUGGGUAAAGCCACCACUUGUAGUGCCAGCAUCUCAAGUGGGUGUCAGUUUUGAGUCCCAGCUGCUCCAGUUAUGAUCCAGCUCUCUGCUAUGGCCUGGGAAGGCAGUAGAAGAUGGCCCAAGUCCUUGGGCUCCUGCACCCACGUGGGAGACCCAGAAGAAGCUCCUGACUCCUGGCUUCUGGCUUCAGAGCAGUACAGCUCCAGCCAUUGUGGCCAUUUGAGGAGAGAACCAGCAGAUGGAAGACCUCUCUCUCUCUGCCUCUGCCUCUCUGUAACUCUGCCUUUCAAAUAAAUAAAUAAAUAAAAAUAAAUAAAUAAAUCUUAAAAAAGACUCUGCCUGUGGCGCCAGCAUCCCAUGUGGGUUCCAGUUCCUGUCCUGGUUGUUCCUCUUCUGACCCAGCUCUCUGCUAAUGGCCUGGAAAAGCAGUGGAAGAUGGCCUAAGUGUUUGGGCCCCUGCACCCAUGUGUGGGACCUGAAAAAACCUCCUGGCUCCAGCUGUUGCAGUUAUUUGGGGAGUGAACCAGCAGAUGGAAGACCUCUCUAUCUCUGUCUCUCCCUCUCUCUGUCUGUAACUCUACCUCUCAUAUAAAUAAAUAAAUAUUUAAAAUAAAAUGUUAAAAAGGGAAGCUAGCUCUGUGGUAUAGUGAGUUAGGUCACCACCUACAAUUCUAGCAUCCCAUGUGGGUACUAGUUCGAGUCCCUGCUGCUCCACUUCCAAUCCAACUUCCUGCUAAUGCACCUAGGAAAGCAGCAGAUGACAGCCCAAAUGCUUGGGCCUGCCAUCCAUGUGGGAGACCCAAAACAAGCUCUGGCUCCUGGCUUCAGCCUGGCCCAGCCUCUGCUGGUGCAGCCAUUUGUGGAGUGAACCAGCAGAUGGAUGAUCUCUAACUCUGACUUUCACAAUGAAUAAAUAAAUCUUUAAAAAAAAGUUAAAAUGGAGUUUACAAAAGGAAAUUAAUAGAAAAAUAAAAUAUGUAUGGUUGAUGCACGAGAAGCAUACCAUAAAGCAAUCUAUUAAUUUGACUGUAAAUUCUGUCAAUAAACUCAAAGGUGAAAACGUGAACGUGUAAGAGCAGGGGCUUAUCACUUCUUGGCCUUUUGGCUAAGAUCAAGUGUGAAGAACAGGAGCUCAUACUGUUACUUGUGUGCACAUUGUUCAUAAGCAUUCCACCCUCCCACUAGAGUCUUUACCUCAAGAGAUUAUUAAAGGAAGUGAGCUAGGAGAAGGGAGAAAAAAAGAGAGAUCAGAACUUUGGAGAAUAGGGAGUUUGAAGCCACACCCAAUUGUGGUGUAUCUUCCAAGGAAGCUAUUUCUACUAUAAGGCUUAAUUUUUAAGAUUCUCCUAAUUCAUAAGAUGAAAUAGUAAUAAAUCAUUCAGGAAAGGUAUUAUUCCUGAUAUUGGAACCAAGAAAUUUCUCCUGUGAACCCUCGUGGUGCAAGGUCAUGUGGGCACUCUAUGUACCAUUCACAACCUUAUUUUAAAAAAAAAUUUUAAUCAUUUGAAAGGCAGUUUUAAAGAAAGGAGAGACAGAGAAAGACAGAUUGUCCAUCCCCUGGUUAACUCCUGCAAUGGCUGCAAUGGCUGUGGCUGGGCCGAGCUGAAUCCAGGAUCCAGGAACUUUUUCCAGAUCUUCCAUGUGGGUGCAGGGUCCCAACCACUCAGGCCAUCCACCAUUGCUUUCCCAGAGCUGGAUUGGAAAUGGAACAGCCAGGACAGGAACCAGUGCCCACAUGGGAUGCUGGUGUUGCAGACAGCAGCUUAACCCACUAUGGCACAGUGUGGGCCCCCAUUCACAAUGUUCUUGGUACCUGGUGAAUGGGUUAUGUAAGCAUGAGCAGUAGAAGUGUCAGAAGAACAGAAGAACAAUGUAUGAGCUUGAUAGAAGUCUCUGAAGAUACUAAACAGGUCUCAGUAACUCAUUACUACUAAUGGUAUGAAGUUGGUCAGAAGACCUGAUAGCAGGAGUUUUGCCUUUUGACCCUUUUGGGAAAUGGAUAAGCUGAGUUUUCAUUUCAGAUCCACAGUAACCCACAACAGUGCUAGACCUUGUUUUAAAAAUUUAUAGUUUCAGUUGCUGGUGUUGUGGCACAUCAGGUUGGCCUUGGCCUAUAAUGCUGGCAUCCCGUAGGAGCUCCAGUUCAAGCUUCAGCUGCUCUACUUCCAAUAGAGCUCCCUGCGAUUGCGCCUAAGAAAGCUCUAGAAGAUGGCCCAAAUGCUUGGGUCCCUUCUGCCCACAUGGGAGACCCGGAUGGAGUUCCAGGCUCCUGUCUUUGAUCUAGUCCAGCCCUGGCCAUUGCAGGAGUGAACCAGCAGAUAGAAGAUCAGUUGAUCUUCUCUAAUUCUGUAUUCAAUGUCUUUCUCUCUGUAAUUCUGCCUUUCAAAUAAAUCAAUCUUUAAAAAAUAAUUUAUAGUUUUAAGUUCAUCACAGUUUUAUUUUUGUCUGGUUUUUAGAAAAGGAAUAUAUAUUUAUAAUAUCCCUGAUAUAUAGUAAGCAGUUUGAAAAAGAUACUUGCAUGAGUUUACAGUGACAGAAUUGCCUUUGAUGUUUUUUAAAUAGAGUGGGUACUUGUUGUGGUUUGAAUAUGUCUGCUCCAUAAUUCAUGUUGAAACUAAAUCUCCAGUGCAACAGUAUUACAAGGUGGGACUUCUAGGCGAUGAUUAGACCAGAAAGGCCAUGCCCUAAUGGGUGGAGUUACCCACCUUAUGAAACCACUAUGGACCAGCACUGUGGCAUGACAGGUUAAGCCACAGCUUGGGAUGCCUGCAUCCCAUACUGGAGUGCCUGGUUCUAGUCCUGGCUACCAAUCCAGCUUCCUGUGCAUGUGCCUAGGAGGCAGCAGAUGAUGUCUGGAGUACCUGAGUCCCUGCCACCUACAUGCAAGACCCAGAUGGGAGUUCCUGUCUCCUGGCUCUAGCCUGGCCCAGCCCUAGCUGUUGUGGGCAUUUGGGGUGUGAGGAGUGUGAAGAUCUCUCUCUCUUUCUUUCCCUCCCUUUCUCCCUCCCUCCUCCUCCCCCACCCCCACCUUUCAGAUAACUAACUAACUAAAUCUUUAUUUGUAAAGGGCUUGACAGAGUGAGUUUAGCCCCUUUGCCCUUUUGUCCUUCCCCCCACAUUAAGACCGAGCACUCAAGGUGCUGUCUUUGGAAGCAAAGACCCAUACCCUCAUCAGGCACCAAAUCUGUUAGAACCUUGAUCUUGGACUUCUCACACUCCAUAACUGUAAGGAAAUAAAUUCUGUUCUUCAUAAAUUACUUAGUCUUACAUAUUUUAUCAUGGCAGCACAAAUGUACUGAGAAAGUACUAUUUCUUUGAGAGAGGGAACACCCCCAUCUUGCUGGUUCUCUCCACCACAUGCCCACGGUGGUCAAAGGAUGGGCCAGGGCCAGAGCCAGCAACUGGGAGCACAAUCCAGGUCUCCCAUGAGGAUGGUGGGAACCUAAUGACUUGAGCCAUCACCACUGCCUCCCAAGGUCUGACAAUGGUGAGAACUAAAGUCAGGUGACAGAGCCAGGAAUCCAACCCAAGCACUCUUAUAUGUGGGGUACACACAUCUUCAUGGGUAGGCCAAAUGCUCACUCUGAUACUCUUUUUUAAUUUGAAGACAGGCUUGCCAACUCCACCAGACAUCAAAUUAAUCAGUAAAACAUUUUCCCUCUUAAGUCUUGCUGAACUAGAAAUACCUAAAAACUGCAAAUAGAAAGUUACAGAAUUAAUAUAGAGACUUUCCAAUUAUAAUAAAUCUCUUCUUGCCAAAAAAGGAGAUGUACAUGUUAAGGAUGCCAGAAAAACCUUUUGAAAAUUUUGUUGGGGUCAGUAUUAAGGCACAGCAGGUUAAGCAUCUGCCUGCAAUGCCAGCAUCCCAUUUUAGAGCACUAGUUCAAGUUUAGGCUUUUCUACUUUAAAUCUAGCUCCUUGCUAAUGUGCUUGGGAAAAUGGUAGGAGAUGGUCCAAGUGCUUGGGCCCCUGCUAGCCACCUGAGUCACCCCUGUGGAGUUCCAGACUCCUGGCUUUGGCCUGGUCAAGCCCAGCUAUUGUGGCUAUUUGGGGAAUAAAACAAUGGAUAGGGCCGGCACCGCGGCUCACUAGGCUAAUCCUCCACCUUGCGGCGCUGCCACACCGGGUUCUAGUCCCUGUUGGGGCACCGGAUUCUGUCCCGGUUGCUCCUCUUCCAGUCCAGCUCUCUGCUGUGGCCCGGGAAGGCAGUGGAGGAUGGCCCAAGUGCUUGGGCCCUGCACCCCAUGGGAGACCAGGAGAAGCACCUGGCUCCUGCCAUCGGAUCAGCGCGGUGCGCCAGCCAUGGCGGCCAUUGGAGGGUGAACCAACGGCAAAGGAAGACCUUUCUCUCUGUCUCUCUCACUGUCCACUCUGCCUGUCAAGAAUAGAACAAAAAAAAAAGAUUAAAAAAAAAUAAAACAAUGGAUAGAAGAUUUCUCUAUCUUCGUCACGCUGCCUUUUAAAUAAAUCUUUAAAAUAAUUUUUCUCUCAUCUGUUUAUGAAAGAUGUAAUAGGUAACCAUACUGGAUUUGAGCUUGGAAGAUAGAUGGAAACAACACUUCCUCUACCAAUGAACCAAAAUAAUUCUGCAAAAUAGACAUACAGUACUUUAAGCAUAUCAGUCUUUUACCAAAAUAAGAACUUGAAAAUGAGAAUCCCAGAGCCACAGCAGUUAUGAAAAUAUCAUAAGUUUACCAAAUUCUUAAUUAUGUUCUAGUAUUUUGUUUUAGCAGUUCCAUUUCAUUGUCCAUUACCUGGUUAUCAGAGGGAAAAAAUGUCAUUAAUGUUUGCCUUCUUACUGUAUUCUUUUUAAUUAAGUUGUAGCUUCAGUGAGUCACUAGUGUAAGGAUACCUGGCUGUAGGCAUUAGCUGGGACCUCCCCCACAUCUGCAUAUGUGCACCCACACACUGUGGUAUCUUUAACCACUAAUUGUGUUUGUAGUUUAACCCAUUCAUGGUCUUCAUAUUAACCAUGGAGAUAAGCACCAGAAAGUGCACCAAAGCUGAGGGGAACUAACAGACUCUGAAUUUUAAAUAUAUUUUAAAAGAAUAAUUUUAUCUAGUAGUUUGAUUUGUAUUUGUUAUUUCUUGUGCAUUGACUCAUGUAAUCUGCAACCCCAUAAGGUAGAUCCUAUUAUUGUUUCCCUUUUACAGUGAGGAAACUGAAGCUGAAAAGAUGAAAUGAGAUUGUCACCUUGCCAAUAAGUGGUAGGAUCAAUAUUCAGUGUGUUCCACAGCCCCUUAUUCUGAUUCCACUGUACUGCUAUAAUGACGCAAGAUCUAGCUUAGAUCUCAAACUACUAGAUAAAUUCUUUUUAAAAAUAUAUUUUUGGGGGGGGGAGGGCUGGCUUUGUGGCAUAGCAGGUAAAGCCACUGCCUGUGAUGGCAGCGUCCCACAUGGAUGCCAGUUCAAGUCUCUGGUGCUCCACUUUCCAUCCAGCUCCCUGCUCAUGUGCCUGGGAAAGCAGGGAAGGAUGGCCCAUAUAUUUGGCUGCUUUCCUGAGCUAUUGGCAGGGAGCUGGAUUGGAAGUGGAGAAUCAGAGACUUGAACUGGCAUCCAUGUGGGAUACUGCCAUCACAGGCAGUGGCUUUACCCACUACGCCACAAUGCUGGCCCCUAAACAAAAAAAAUUUUUUUGGCAUUACAUUUUGUAUUAAUCUGAAGGUUGAUGUUUGGUGAUAUUUAUUCUUCCCAGCCAAGACAAUGAUACAUUUUUCCUUUGUAGAUUUUUGAGAUUUUUCAAGAUAGGGUUUUUUUUUUUAGAAUAGUAUUGAUUUUACAGCAAGGUUAUAAAGAUAGUAAAAGGAAUUCCCAUAUACCCAUGUUUAGUUUUUUCUGUCACUAACAUAUUAAUACUGUACAUUUGUCACAAUUAGCAAACCAAUAUUGAUAUAUUAUUGUUAACUAAAGUCCAUACUUUAUUCAGAUUUUCUUAACUUUUACCUACUGAUUGUUUUUCACGUGAGUUCUCAACCAGGAUACCACAUUACAUUUAGUCAUUAUGUCUCUCUGGGCUCCCCCUUGCUGCAACAGUUUCUCAGACUCCUGUUGGUUUUGAUAACCUGUACAAUUUUGAGUCAUAUUGAUCAGGUAUUUUGUAGAAUUCAAUUUUGUAGUCCUUCAGCUGGGAUUUGUAUUGUGUUUUUCUCAGUUGUGGGUUUGGGGGAAGAAGACCGCAGAGUGUCACUCUCAUCACUUCCUGUUGAAGUUCAGACCAUCUCUGAUUGCCACUGUUGUCAUCAGUCUUGAUGAUUAAUGAAAGGAGUGUUUCUGUGGUUCCUCCACUGUAGAGUUAGUCUUUUAUCCCUCUUUCCAUAAUGUACUCCUCAGAGAGAAGUCACUGUUAGCAGCCCACACUUAAAGAACUGGGGAGUUACAUUCUGUCAUUUCCUUGAGGGCAGAGACAGUCUGGUACCACUUGAUUCCUUCAGUGUUGGGCCACACUUAUGAUGGUAGUCCCAUAAAAUUAUGUCAUGUAGUGACAUCAUAGUUUUUUUUUUUUUGUAUCAGUAUACUCUAUGAUAUUCAUUUAAGAACAAAGUUGCCUAACAAUCCAUUUCUCAAAAUCUCCUCAAGACAUAUGGCUAUAUUUAUAUAUAUUGUAUAGAAUUCUUUAUCUUGUGCAACUUUCUUCUUCCUUUCUCUGCUUCUCUCCUUUCUUUCUUCUUUCCUCCCCUCCUUCCUUCCUUUCUUUCAAAUUUUUAUUUUUAUUUUUUUGAAAGAGAUGGAGACAGGAAGAGAGACCGAGAUCUUCCAUCCACAAGUUCACUCCUCAAAUGCCUGCAACAGCCAAGCCUGGACCAGACUGAAGCUAGAACCUAGAAUCCAGUCUAGGGUUCCCUUUUGUGAUGGCAGGGACCCGAGUACUUGAGCCAUCCUCUCUGCUCCCCUUCACGGAGGGUAUGCAUUAGCAAGAAGCUGGAAUCAGAGGAAGCUGGGACUCAAACCCAGCCACUCCAAAUUGGGGUGUAGGCAUUCCAAGAAGCCUUAAAUACCAAACUCCCGCCCCAGUAUUUUUUUUUUAUCUUAGUCUUUUUUUAGUCUUCUUUGAGGGAGAACAGUGUUACUCUUUUUUUUUUUUUAAUUAUCAAGGGCAAUUAAAGGAAAUAUUAGUAUUUUUCUACUUGUACUAACUUUUCAAAAUCAAGUAAUACUUUUUCUGCCACUUAAUGUCCCAGUUUUUCCCAGUCAUCUUAUGAUCUUUUUUUCAGGAUUAAUCAUAUUUAUGGAUUGCCUGUUUUGGGAGACCAGCAUAUAUUUUGCAUUUUCUUUUUGUUUCCUUAACAAUGGAGUAGAAAGGGUAUAGAUGAAGGGAGAAAUUGAAAUAAUUAAUAUAAACUUGUUUAGAGCAGCUCUUUCAUUACUGUGUCUCAGGUAAUUAAAAAGGGGUUCUUACUGAACUGAAAAUACUAGUUAAUCAGCAAAGGGGAGAAGGGUAUAUAGGAUGUUUGCUUUCAAUAUUAUAUACUUAUGUGAUGCUAGAGUUCUUUUUAAAGAAGUUUUUUUUGUAACUUGGAAAAUAAUAAAGGUUUAUUUUUAGAGUCAAUGGAAAUGCAAAGGAAAGAACUUAUCAUUUCUGCGGUUCAAAAUGCUUUAGAACUUGAGAACUCUUUUCCAUACUUGAUAAGGUUAAAUCUCUUGGUUAUUUUGCAUUAAUUGUGUUUGUCCCCAUAUUUUUCACUAUUUAGGCUAAACUGGUGAAAUUGUACUUCUGCCCAGUUAUUUUAUGUAAUUGCAAUGAUUACUUUGGCAUUUGAAGAUUACUGGAGAUUCAUUUUCAACAGUUCUAAGUGUGUAAGUCUUCUAACAAGAUUGUAAACAUUGUAUUACAGACAGAGACUGCCUUUUAUGUGUUUUCCAUGGAAAGGCAUGUAGCUGUUUUGGUGUGUUGCUGUUGAAGUGAUAGGAAACUUUCCCAUUGUCUCAUUGUUCUGCUGCUUCAACACUGAUUUCUUUCUUACUGGAUCUCUAUUACAAUUUCAGCUCUGUGCCCUUUGAGCCUUUAUCUUUGUGUCCUUCCUCUCUCCUUUGACCUACCAACCCAUGCACUUAGACGUUCCAAUUCAAAGAAACCCCUCUCCGAUUCCCCUGGAGGUGGCAUAGUCUCACAAUGAGAGCGCUAUUGUAGCCACCAAUUAUUUUCCAGCUCCAGGAGGAAGAAAUUCUACCUGCUCUUAAGCCUCAAUGCAACUCCUCCCUCUUCCAAAGAACUCUUAGAAGUUUAAGCUCUCGGGUUGGUGCCGGUGCAGUGGCUCACUUGGUUAAUCCUCCGCCUGUGGCGCCGGCAUCCCAUAUGGGCUCCGGGUUCUAGUCCCAGUUGCUCCUCUUCCAGUCCAGCUCUCUGCUGUGGCCCAGGAGGGCAGUGGAGGAUGGCCCAAGUGCUUGGGCCCCUGUACCCGCAUGGGAGACCAAGAGAAAGCACCUGACUCCUGGCUUCGGCACGGCGACGGCUGUGGUGGCCAUUUGUGGAGUGAACCGACAGAGGGAAGAUCUUUCUCUCUCUCUCUCACUAACUCUAUCUGUCAAAAAAAUAAAAAUAAAAAAAAGUCUUGCCACUCCAUUUGGAAAUUAGGGUAUUGCAAGAUUUAAUAGCAGAAAGGAUAAAUUUUCAAUAGAGCUUUAUUUACAAUUUGUGCCACUUUAGAAACUAUGUCCUAUGUGUUCUUUUAUCUGCCUUCUAUGUUAUUUUUAGCUCAAUACAAUAUACACACCGAUUGUUUAACAUAACUCAAAAACUACCAGUUUUUUUUUUUUUUUAAGAUUUAUUUAUUUGAAAGGUAGAGCUACAGAGAGGCAGAGGCAGAGAGAGGGAGAGAGGGAGAGAGAGAGAGAGAGUUGUCUUCCAUCCUCUGGUUCACUUUCAAAGGGCCACAAUGGUCGGAGCUGAGCCAAUCCAAAGCCAGGAGCCAGGAGCUUCUUCCAGAUCUCCCACACAGUUGCAGUUGUAGGGGCCCAAAGACUUGGGCCAUCCUCCACUGCUUUCCUAGGCCAUAUCAGAGGGCUGGAUCGGAAGCGGAGCAGCUGGGUCCUGAACUGGCACCCAUAUGGGAGGCUGGCACUGCAGGCAACAGCUUUGCUUGCUAAGCCACAGUGCCAUUUUUCAGUUUUGAUUUUAUAUGAACAUUCUAUUUGAUAUGAUUUAAUUUUAGCAUAGUGACUUUCUGAUAAGCUCGUUGUCUUCUACAAUUAAAGUAAAUCAACUUUAUUAAAUAAAUUUUAUUAUCUAUGCCCAAAUUCAUUCAAUAGGUAUUUUUUUUAAGAUUUAUUUUAUUUAUUUGAAAGAGUUAUAGAGAGGUAGAGACAGAGAGAGAGAGGUCUUCCAUCUGUUGGUUCACUCUCCAGAUAGCCACAAUGGCCGGAACCGCUGCAGUCUGAAGCCAGGAACUGGGAGCUUCCUUUGGGUCUCCCAAGUGGAUGCAGGGGCCCAAGGACUUGGGCUGUCCUCCACUGCUUUCCCAGGCCUUGGCAGAGAGCUGGAUCGGAAGAGGAGCAGCCAGGACCAGAAUCGGCCCCCAAAUGGGAUGCAGGCACUUUAGGACAGGGCUUUUUUUUUUUUUUUUUUUUUUUUUUUAAGAUUUAUUUAUUUUGCUUGAAAGUCACAGUUACACAGAGAGAGGAAGACAGAGAGAGAGAGGUCUUCCAUCCAAUGGUUCACUCCCCAAUUGGCCACAAUGGCCGGAGCUGUGCCGAUCUGAAGCCAGGAGCCAGGAGCUAGGAGCUUCUUCCGGGUCUCCCACAAGGGUGCAAGGGCCCAAGGACUUGGGCCAUCGUCUGCUGCUAUCCCAGGCCAUAGCAGAGAGCUGGAUCGGAAGUGGAGCAGCCGGGACUCAAACUGGUUUCCAUAUGGGAUGCAGGCACUUCAGGCCAGGGUGUUAACCCGCUGCGCUACAGUGCCAGUCCCUCAGGCCAGGGCUUUAACCUGCUGUGCCACAGCGCCUGCCCCUCAAUAAGUAUUAAGUAAAAACUUAUGUUGCAUAGUUCUGUCAGUGGCCAUAGAUAAUCUUUGCUCUUAAGAAAUUUACAACCUAGCAGAGUUGAUAAGAUGCAUAGACAAAUAAGAGACAUUGAGGCUCAGGUAUGGAUAUUGAGUAAGGCUUCCUGAAGGUGACAUUUGUGAUGAAUUUCCAUCAAGCAGAAUUAGUGAGAGAUAUUAUCAGUAGAGACAAUAGUUUGAGCCAUGAAUGAAAAUGAUAGUCCAAGGUACUCAAAAGAUAUAGCCCUUUGACCUUAGACUUCCAGCCUUUAGAGAAGUGAGAAAUAAAUUUCUUCAUAAAUGUGAAAAAGCAAGGAAAGCUAUACUUGAAGAAUAGUGAGUUGACCACUAGUAGCCAGAGUAGAGUUUACCUGUUUGUUAGUAGUAGAAUAGGGGGUUGAAAGGGUUACUUGUGACCAUGGGUUGGAGUACUUUAGCAUUUGGAAGAAUUUGAAUUUUCUUUCAGUCAUUCAACAGCUAUGUUAAGAAUACAAAGGUAAACAUAUAAUACAAUCAUAAACACAGAUAUGGUCUUUGCCCUUAUGGAACUUAUGGCCCAUCAUUAAUGUAAUAACAGAAACUCAUGUAAAAUUACAGUUAUAAUAAGUGGUACACAAAAACCAAAGAUACAUGGUGGCUGUGAAGGCAUUUAAGAAAAAAUCUGAUGUAGACAAGGAGAUCAGAGAUCAGAUGGUUUCCUUGAAGAAAUAGAAACUGAGCAUCAAAGGGAUGAGUGAGAGUCCAAUAAAGAAGGAUGAAAAGAGAGUUUUAUUUGGAAUACGGUGUGUGAAGUUCCUGUGGUGGGGAGAUACAAGGGACUAAGAGAGUGAAUGGAGAGUAGAGACUGGAAGGGGCCAGAUCUUGUUGACUUGAAGAAUUUGUGUUUUUCCUAAGAGUAGGAAGCAAGGUAUCAAAAUUGUGUUUUGAAAGUAUAUUUCUGGCUGAAGUACAGAAAGCAGAUCACUGAUUUCCAGUGAAGAUUGUUACCAAGGUUCACAAUUUGCAUCAGACAGAUAGCAAUGAAGAUGAAAUAUAGAAAUAGAAAACUGAGAAGAUUGCCAAUCUCAAGAACAAAACAUAACAAAGCAUUGCAACCAAAAUCUUCAUAGGGUAGAAGCCACAGCCCUGCUUAGCUCUGAAUCUUGGAACAGGCUUAGAGGCAGGAAACUCAGCUCCUUUGAGAUAAUAUAGACAUGCCACACAAGAUGGGGUCAAAGCCAGAUUUAUUGUAUAAAGCUGGAGUAAGUGAAAUUCCACAAACUUGCAACACAGGCUGGGGUAAAAAAAAGACACCUUGUUACUGCUAUUUGAGAUAUGGCACCUAAGUACAUACAAGCCCCAGGAAUGAAGACGGAAUAAGUAGCCUCACAACUUGCCAGUGACUAUAUCUGUGGUAAUCCUGAUAUAAACACAGGAUUUGGGAAUCAGGAAAGCAAGAAAUCCCAAAACUUUUAGACAGAGAAAAGAUAAGCAUGGAGGAAGUUAACAAGAGAGAGAAGGAGAUUCUCCCAGCUCUGGAAGAGGAUGAGAGGCUGUAGGUCAGAGGAAGCAGGGAAAAGCGAGGUCCUCUCAGACUAGGGGCAAGUCAUUUUGUUCUCCAGCAGAGAACUCACUUCCCAACUCUCAGCGCGAGAGCUCUUCCUUUUAUUCUUUUUGUGGUUUAUAUUGAGCCCUGUUGUGUGGGAACACUUGCCUCAGGCAUGGAUCCUCCACUUUUGGAGCAACCAGACUUGUUGGCAAUAAAGUGCUGUGGAACUUCGAAAGAGAAAGCUUUUUGAUCUAACUGAUCAUUCCCUCAUCAAAUUUUUGUUCUUUGUGGUGUGUCCAUGCCAAUUAUGUACCAGAAUGCUGAUUCAGUCAGGGCUUUACGAAAGCCAUUCCAGUAAGAACAGAAUGGACCUAGUGUGUGUAUGGGGACAUGGAGGGGAUCAAAAGAAACAGUAAGCAUUUGAGUGUUCUUAAAGCCUUGUGUAAUGGAAGGAGAGGUAUGGUAGGCUAGGCCAGGACCAUAUUUUGAAAGUCAGAAAUGUAUUUUUUUCUGCACAUAGGGGAACUGGCUGUCCAGAGUAUAGAAAGAGACUUUAUUUUUAUUACAUAUUCUUCUUAAGUUUUUUAUUUGAAAGGCAGAGUGACAGAGAAGGAGAGAGAGAGAAAAAGGGAUCUUCCAACUUUCUUCCCAAACGGCCGCAACAGCCGGGGCUGCCCAGACUAAAGCCAGGAGCCAGGAACUCCAUCCUGGUCUCCCAUGCCAGUGGCAGAGACUCAAGUGCUUGAACCAUGAUCUGCUACUUCCCAGGCACAUUAGCAAAGAGCUGAAUGGGAAACAGUGCUGAGACUCAAACCAGCACUCCAGUGUGGGAUGCAGAUGUCCCAAGUGGCGACUUAACUAGUUACACUAAACACAUGUUCAUUCUUUUGUUUUUUUUUUUGUUGUUGUUGUUGUUGUUUGUUUGUUUGUUUGUUUGUUUUGACAGGCAGAGUGGACAGUGAGAGACAGAGAGAAAGGUAUUCCGUUGCCGUUGGUUCACCCUCCAAUGGCCGCCACGGCUGGCGCGCUGCGGCUGGCAUACCGCGCCUAUCCGAAGGCAGGAGCCAGGUGCUUCUCCUGGUCUCCCAUGGGGUGCAGGGCCCAAGCACUUGGGCCAUCCUCCACUGCCUUCCCGGGCCACAGCAGAAAGCUGGACUGGAAAAGGGGCAACCGGGACAGAAUCCGGUGCCCCGACUGGGACUAGAACCCGGUGUGCCGGCGGCGCAAGGCGGAGGAUUAGCCUACUGAGCUGCGGCGCUGGCCUUACUUUGAUUUUAACAUAUGUUGAGAGCUACAACUGUUCUACAAAGACAUUAAAUUUAUAUAGCCUAUUUCCAUGAACCCCAACUGCAUUGAUCUGAAUAUAUUCUAGUUAUUUAAUUCAUUGAAUGUUUUUUGAGAGCCUCUUUCAUAGAUGUGUCAGAAGUACAAACCUGAAAGAAGCAUAGUCCCUAUCCUCAAGAGUUUUAUAUUCUUUAGGAGAAAAUAAAAAAAGACAGUAUUGUCUAAAUGAAGACCGAAUCUGAUCAACAUGUUUAUUGUGCCAGUACCUCUGUGAACAGGAACUAUAAGGAACAUUUCUUAGAUUUUCCUGUGGUUCAAACUAGUAUUUUUGCCCAGUUGUUCAGAAACAUUAAGCUUUUAUAAUAUUUUCAGCUAAUUUAUUUAUAAUAGCACCAGCAUCUGUUGUUUUUCUGAGUUUUAACUAACAUUUAAGAAUUUCACAUAUGCCAAAAACUUUUGACUGUCUUAUAUGCAUUAUCUCAUUUAAUCCCCACAACAGUCUUUUAAGGUGUUAUUUUCAUUUUACAGAUGUAGAAACUGAGGGUCAGAGAAGUCAAGAUACCCACCUAACAUCAAUUCAGAGAUAGUAAGGGUCAGAAUUGGUUUCUUGACCCCAGAGCCUGAGCCAAAUAACACUUUGUUCUCUAUCUCCAUGGACCUUGCUAACUUCUACACAUCAACUCUAUUUAAACACAGAGAAACAGCAUCAGUGAAAGUUAUCAGUGGUUUUGUUUGUUUUAAUUAGAUAUUGACACAAUUUUGAUAUAGGAAAUGCUGACAAUCUGCCAAACAAUUCCAAGCUUGUAAGAGUACUAUCACCGUAGUUUUGUGUCUUUAUUCAUACGACUUUAGUUUGACUAAUCCUCCCUAAGAAGUCUUCUGCAACCCAUGCACAUGCACACUGUUCACUCUGGGUGCUUGGCCCCUCCUGUGCAUCCUCUUCUGUGGUGACACCAGUCACACAUUGCAGUGAUCUAAGCUCCUUGGUAGCAGGGACUAGUCUUUGUUUUAGAAAUCUCAGCAUCCAGCACAGUGUUUAGCGUGUGGUAGGUAUACAGAAAAAAUGUUAAAUGAAUGUUUAACUCCAAGCGUGUUUUCUGACUUAAGGAAUGUUUGCUGACUCCCUUUAGUGUACGUUUUUGCACAUAGCUAUAGUAGUUUUUCACUAACUCACUGUUUACUGGUUGGGACUUCUGUUUGUUUCCUUUUCUAAAUAUGUUUUUUUUAAAAAUUUAUUUAUUUAUUUAUUUGAAAGGCAAAGUUACAGAGAGAGAAAAAGAUUUUCCAUUUACUCGUUGACUCCCCAAAUGGCCACAGUGACCAAGUCUAGGCCAGGUUACAGCCAAGAGCCUGGAACUCCAUCCAUGGUGUGAACAUAGGUGGCAGGGGCCCAAGCACUUGAACCAUCUUCUGUUGCUUUCCCAGGCGCAUUAGUAGGGAGCUAGGUUGGAAGUGGAGCAGCCAAGACUCAGACCUGUGCUCAUGUGGGAUGCAGGGCUUUAGGGCCCUGGCCAAACCUGCCGUGCCACACGCUGGUCCUGAGACUUCUGUUUUCAGUACUGGCCGGAUUUACUUGGUUUGUGCCCGUAGUUAUUUUAUACAGCUUUAUAUUCCUAACAACAAACACUAGAUUUAAACAUUGUUGUGGGGAGCAACUGGGAGCAACUCGGACUAGACUAAGUUACUGGAAUUAAGACUUAUUCUAUGCAUCUGCUCUCCCACAAUAUGGCGCUGGGAGAGGAGAAAACAGCUUCCACGCAGCUGCCUCUUGCCAACUUGAGUGCUGACCUCCAGGAGCUGAUCCUGCUCCUGAUUGGAGGAGAGCAGCGUACUCGGCGUGUGGGCAGCCGAGUUAGGAUUGGCAGAGGAGGACUAUAAAGGAGGAGAGAGACGGCAUGCACCAGGAACAUCUAAGAGGAACAUCUAAGGGGAACACCUGUGCAGCCCCCAAGAGAGCCGGCCGGCGGUGUGCCGCUCCCCUGCGGAAGUGGGGAAAGUGGCCAGGGGGAACCGCCCUUCCACGGAGGUGGAAGGGAUAGUAGCCAACCCGGGAAGAACCAGCAGCAAACCCGGGGAGGGCCGAGCAGACGAAAGAACAGCGCAGGGUCCUGUGUCGUUCCUCCACGAAGAGGGGGAGCGACAGUACAAGAUCAAUCUCUCUCUCUCUCUCUCUCUCUCUGUAACUCUGCCUUUCAAAUAAAUAAAUCUUUAAGAAAAAAAAAACUUAAUGUAUUUUUACCUUUUCACUUAAAGAAAGCACUUUACAACUUGUGUUUGGCAUGUCUGAAUUGCCAGCAACACUACUUUUGCUCUUUAGGGCCAUUGUUAAGUAAAAUAAGCAUUACUGGAACACAGCACUGUGAUAUCAUGACAGUCAAUCUGGUAACUGAGACAGCUACAAAGUGACUAAUGGGUAAGUAGUGUGUACAGUAUGUAUAUACUGGAUAAAAGGAUGAUUCAUGUCUCAGGCAGAAGGGAGCAGAACAGCAUGAGAUUUCAUCACGCUGCUCAGAACAGUGUAGUUUUAAAUUUAUGAAUUUUUUAUUUCUGGAAUUUUUCAUUUAUAUUUUUGUACUACAGCUGACCACAGGUAGCUGAAAGCUCAGAAAGAGAGACUGCAGAUAAAGAAGGACUACUGUAAUUAUGUUCAUCACAGAAAACCCUAAUUAAACUCUUUAAUGUUGAGGCCAUUUUUAGCUUUAUUUUUUUUAAAGAUUUAUUUAUAUAUUUGAAAGGCAGUUACAGAGAGAGAGGGAGAGGGAGAAGCAGAACCAGGGAGAUAUCUCCUGUCCAUUGGUUCACUGCCCAAAUGGCCACUACAGCCAGGACAAAUCCAGGAACUCCAUCUGGGUCUCUCAGAUGUGUGGUAGUGCUCCAUGCACUCAGGCCACCCUCCACUGCUUUCCCAGACACAUUAGUGGGGAACUGGAUCAAAAGCAGAGCAGCUAGGACUAGAAUCAACACUCCCAUAUGGGAUGCUGGCAUCAUAAGCAAUGGCUUAACCCACUGUGCCACCGCACCACACCCUGUUUUACUGUCCCUUAUCAAAACAUUUGUAUGAUUUUUUUUUUCCUUCUACGAUCAUUUCUCUUGACUUCUAUACUCAGUUGAAUUACAUUCCUUACAGCAGUGUUAUUACUUUACUCUGGUUUUCCUUCUAGUUUAUAGCCCAUUAGUUUUUCCUGGAACCCUGCUUAAAUGAGAUAAAAUCUUUAAAUGUCUCUGUUAUAGAAAAUACAUGCUAGACUUCAAAUAUUAACCAGCACAGGAUUAUGAAAGUUAAAAAUUUAUAAAUGGUAAAGUUAUUAUCUAGUUUGUGGUGGUGAUUAAAACCCAUAGAACUGCAUGCAUGCAUACACACACAAACUCAUAAAUGGACAAAAUUGACUAAGUGUUACAAAUCGAAGUUUUACUGACUAGAAGAAAGAACUUUGAAUUUCUUCUAGAAAAUGUAUCUUUAAAAUAUAAAUUGAGUCUCCAUUAAUUCUGAAAACAUCUAUAAUCUUCCUUUCUCCACUAACAAAAUGUAUGUUCAGUGUUGAUCAUGAAGAUACUUCAUCUCAUUCUCCACUUUGUUAUAUUUGAUCCAGAAAAUGAGGUAGAGUCAUAAUUCAUAUAAAAUAUAUUGGAAAUCAGAUACAUCUUGGUUUUUUUUUUUUAUUUUUAUUUUUUGAUAGGCAGAGUGGACAGUGAGAGAGAGACAGAGAGAAAGGUCUUCCUUUGCCGUUGGUUCACCCUCCAAUGGCCGCCACGGCCGGCACGCUGCGGCCGGCGCACCGCGCUGAUCCGAUGGCUGGAGCCAGGUACUUCUCCUGGUCUCCCAUAGGGUGCAGGGCCCAAGUACUUGGGCCAUCCUCCACUGCCUUCCCGGGCCACAGCAGAGAGCUGGCCUGGAAGAGGGGCAACCGGGACAGAAUCCGGCGCCCCGACCGGGACUAGAACCCGGUGUGCUGGCGCCGCAAGGCGGAAGAUUAGCCUAGUGAGCAGCAGUGCCAGCCGGUUGUUUUUUGUUUUUAACUUUUAGUUUGUAGUUAAUGAGUCUUGAUGGGCCCAUAGAGCAGACUUUAGGGAGUCAGUAGAACUGGCAGGAAUAGCAAGUAUUCUAAAGGGCAGAAUUUUGCAGGAAGAGGUCCACCCGGGUUGAUAAGUGUCAAUUAUCUUGAAAAAUCAACACAUGUAACUAACUAGAAAUACUUAAAAUGUUGUCCAAUUUAGAGAGAACAGGGCACCCAGCUUCCUAAUGCAGACCUUUAAAGCAUGAGCAACAAAUGAGUAAAUUAAAAAUGGAUGAUGUUGAAAAAGGCAAGAAGAUUUUUGUUCAGAAAUGUGCCCAGUGCUAUACUGUGGAAAAGGGAGGCAAGCACAAGACCGGACCAAAUCUCAGUGAUUUGUUUGGGCAGAAGACAAGUUCAGGCCAUUGGGUUCUUUUACACAGCUGCCAACAAGAACAAAGGUGUCACCUGGGACAGAACACUCUGCUGGAGUAUUUGGAGAAUCCCAAGAAAUACAUCCCUGGAACCAAAAUGAUCUUUGCUGGCAUUAAGAGGAAUGAAAGGACAGACUUGAUAGCUUAUCUCAACUAUUACUACUAAUGAGUAAUAGUUGGCCACUGCCUUAUUUAUUACAAAACAGGAAUGUCUUGUGACUUUUUUAUAUGCAUCAUAAUUUAAUUCUCAUAUGCAAGAAUUCAGAUCAUGAAUGGCUGACAGAAUAUUUUUGACAGUCCUGAUUUGAGUAAGAUUGCCAUGUGUGGUUAUAUAAAUAUGAUUGGGUUUGUUGAAAUAUUGGCGGUAGUUCCAGUUCAGUAAAUGCCCUCACUGUUUUCCUCUUAAGGAUAUGAAUAAACUUAAUUAAUAAUGUUCAACUUUUUGCAAAAAUUUUGAAUGCCAUCUGAAAAUCUGUCAGGAGAUUGGAUUUAUAUUUAAAUACUGGGGAAAUCUCUUCACUGUCUCAGAACUGAGUAGGACUCACUUAUGUUCCAGUUUGUGUUCUUCACCUGCUAAAGGCAAGAGCUGAAGAUAGGUAGAAAUAUGGACUUAGUACUUCUGGUCUUAGCUUUGCCAAUCUAAUUAGAAUUUCCUGUACCUAAACUGCUGCCUUUUAUUUAUUAAAAGGCAUUUGGUGUGAUUUAUGUAUAUCCAGUAAAGAAUAUUUAACACCCCUCACAUUUUAUAGGUGAUCUAAAAGAUCAGGUGCUUUGCAAGUAAUCAUGACCAGAUAGAGUAAUAAGUUUUACUUGUGACUUCUUUUACUACCUUAGACUAAGUUAUAAUUCAGGAUUGUCUAUAAACAGCUAUUUGGAAACACAUAAAAUUGAGGAACUACUGUAUAUUUGUGUUCAGUAGUGGUGCUUUUGCCAACUCAUUGAAAGGACUAAAUCAGAAGAGAUAAACUAUCAGCACAAAAUUUCUAAAUACGUGAUUACAAGACUUAAGAUAAUUAAAAAAAUUACAGAUCAUGAAAAACAGUGUUGCCCAAUUUAGAUAUUAGAUAAGCAAAUUAAUUUAGAUUUCUAGACUAUGAAGUUACAGCUGCUGAGCUUUUGAAAAAAAGAACAAAACAAUUUCCUCCAGUUUUCUUUAGUAAAGCAAGUCGACAGGCAGAGUGGAUAGUGAGAGAGAGAGACAGAGAGAAAGGUCUUCCUUUGCGUUGGUUCACCCUCCAAUGGCCGCCACAGCUGGCGCGCUGUGGCGUACCGCGCCUAUCCGAAGGCAGGAGCCAGGUGCUUCUCCUGGUCUCCCAUGGGGUGCAGGGCCCAAGCACUUGGGCCAUCUUCCACUGCACUCCCGGGCCACAGCAGAGGGCUGGCCUGGAAGAGGGGCAACCGGGAAAGAAUCCGGCGCCCUGACUGGGUCUAGAUCCCAGUGUGCCGGCACCGCUAGGUGGAGGAUUAGCCUAGUGAGCCGCGGCGCCGGCCUAUUAUUCUUUUUGUUCUUUGAGGCUUUCUUAUUUUCAGGUUUUCUAAAAUAAAUACAAACUACUUUAAUAAUAAUAUUUAAAAAUGUCAGUAACACCAAGAAUUUGUUUUAUAUCAUCUUAUCUAAAUAAAUAAGGUGUUCUUCAAAGAAUACUUUGGGAAGCAAAGAUGGUACUGAGAUCUAAGAGUGGGAGCAUGACAAAAGCUAAAAUAACAGGCUCUUUAUUAUUUUGGGGAAGAUUUAUGUACUAUUUAUUUUAAUGAUUAGCUAUUCAUAAAACAACAUACAUAAUAAAAUUGUAAGACUUUACUCCAGAAUAACGUCCCAUGCAUUAAUUCAAUUAUAUGAUCAUAAAUUUUCUCAGAAGCCCCAAAUAUUGUGCCAUUUUUAUUAAGAUUUUGUUUUCUAGAAUUAAAUGUCUCGUUGCUUCUUUUUAGAAGGAUGUAUUAUUAGUAGACAAAUGCAGAGGUUGUGAGGUUCUAUAAUUUUUUUUUUUUUUUUCUGAUUUGUAUCUAGUAACAGGCAAGAAUAGACAUGCUUUUCUAAAAUAGGACUUUUAAGUAGCUGGGUGCCUAGAGUUUCUUUUUCUUUAUUUUUAAGAUUAUUUAUUUAUUUGAAAGUUAGGAUUAUAUAUAUAUAGAGAGAGAUCUUCUAUCUGCUGGUUCAAUCCCCAGAUGGCUGCUACUGCCAGAGCUGGGCCAGGCUGAAGCCAGGAGCCAGGAGUUUCAUCUGGGUCUCCCAUGUGGGUGUCAGGGGCCCAAACAUUUGAGUCAUCUUCUGCUGCUUUUCCCAGGCCAUUAGCAGGGACCUGGAUCUGAAGUGGAGCAACUGAGACAUAAACUGGUGCACAUACAGGAUGCCAGCAUCGUGGGUAGUGGCUUUACCCACUGCACCACAGCUGAGUGCUUUUAGAGUGCACCGAAGAUUGAAGAGCACUGGAUUUUUGUUUCUUUCUCUGCUGCAUGAAAUGUUUAUUAAGUAAAGAUUGGAAAAAAUAAGUUUAGGUUAGACUCUGAUGUAAGGUGCAGUUUUCAGCUCUGUUGUAACCUCCCUUUAUGCUCAUGGGUGGUUUCUUGUCCAUUUUGAGCCUCAGUAUCCUUAUUUGUAAAAUGAGGACACCAGAUGUAAAAUCUCUAAACAUUCUUUCGACUCUAAAAACUUCGUGAUUCAAGCAGGUUCCCUGAGAAGAGCAAUGCAUUACGUCCGAAAGAGGAUGCUUUGGUAUUUCUCAAGGCUUUAGCAUUUUUUUUUUAAGUUUUAUUUUAUUUAUUUGAAAGAGUUACAGAGAGAGAAAGAAGGAGAAACAGAGAGAGAUCUUCCAUCCUCUGGUUCACUCCCCAGAUGGCCACAACCAGGGAUGGUGGGAGGCACAUUAGCAGGGAGCUAGAUCAGAAGUGGAGCAGCCAGGACUCCAGCUGGCGCCCAUGUAGGAUGUCACAGGCAGCAGCUUAACCCAUUAUGCCACAACUGCAGGUUUCUUAGCAUUUUCUCAAAGGGAAACUGAACACAGAAUCUGAGCUUAUUUUGUACCUUCAGACUCUUGAGAAAUAGUGUCUGAUUCCUUAUUUAUUUAGAUAAGAUGAUAUAAAACAAAUUCUUGGUGUUACUGACAUUUUUAAAUAUUAUUAUUAAAGUAGUUUGUAUUUAUUUUAGAAAACCUGAAAAUAAGAAAGCCUCAAAGACAAAAAUUAAAAUUCUACAUGUUGUGGGUGUUGUGAUGCAACAGAUUAACCCACUGCUUAGGACACCUACCUCCCAUAUCAGAGUGCCUGGUUGGAGUCCCAGCCGCUCUGCACUUUCCAGGCAGCUUCCUGCUAAUGUCCCUGGGACACAGGGACACAUGGAUAAUAGCCCAAGUACUUGGGUCCCUGCCAACCACAUGGGAGAUCCAGAUGGAGUUCCCGGCUCCUUGCUUCAACCUGGCCUAACUCUGGCUGUGGUAGAUAUUUGAGGAGUGAACCAGUGGAUGGAAGAUGUAUCUGUUUCUCCCUCUCUUUGUCACUCUGCCUUCCAAGUAAGUGAAUAAAUCUUUUUAAAAAUAAUAAUCCACACAAAACAAAAUUUAGCCAGUUUUAACAUUUUGUUAUUUUUUAUUCUUUUGAGUCUCAUUCAAUUUUUUCCCAUUGAGAAAAAACAUACAUAUCCAGCCUAAUGAGACCUUUCUCAUAAUAUUAAAUGUCUUUUUUUAAAAAGAUUUAUUUAUUUAUUUGAAAGAGUUACACCAAGAGAGGAGAGGCAUAGAGAAAGAGAGAGAGAGAGAGGUCUUCCGUCCGAUGGUUCACUCCCCAAUUGGCCACGAUGGCCAGAGCUGCAUCGAUCUGAAGCCAGGAGCCAGGAGCUUCUUCCAGGUAUCCCAUAUGGGUGCAGGGGCCCAAGGUCUUGGGCCACCUUCUACUGCUAUCCCAGGCCAUAGCAGAGAGCUGGAUCGGAAGUGGAGCAGCCGGCGCUAGAACUGGAGCCCCUAUGGGAUGCUGGCGCUUCAGGCCAGGGCGUUAACCCACUGCGCCACAGCGCUGGCCCCUAUUAAAUGUGUUUUGGAAACCAUUUUUAAUGACAAUAUAGUCAUUUUUCCAAAAUUGUUUAUUAUUAUGAUUAUCAAUUAGAAAGAGAGGCAGACGGAGGAUCUUCCAUCCACUGGUGCAAUCCCCAAAUGUUUACAACAGCCAGGGGUGGGCCAGGCCAAAGCCAGAAGCCAGGAACUCCAUCCAGAUUUCCCACGUGGUGGCAACGACCCAAUUGCUUUAGUCAUCGUCUGCUACCUCUUAGUGUGCACAUUAACAGGAAACUGGAUAAAAAGCGAAAUAGCGGCCAGUACCGCGGCUCACUAGGCUACUCCUCUGCCUGUGGUGCUGGCAUCCCUGGUUCUAGUCCUGGUUGGGGUGCCAGAUUCUGUCCUGGUUGCUCCUCUUCCAGUCGAGCUCUCUGCUGUGGCCCAGGAAGGCAGUGGAGGAUAGCCCAGGUGCUUGGGCCCCUGCACCUGCAUAGGAGACCAGGAGAAGCACCUGGUUCCUGGCUUCGGAUCGGUGCAACUCCAGCCGUAGCAGCCAUUUGGGGGGUGAACCAACGGAAUGAAGACCUUUCUCUCUGUCUCUCUCUCACUAACUCUGCCUGUCAAAAAAAAAAAAAAAAGCGAAGUAGCUGGGACUCCAGCCAGGCACUCCAAUAUGAGAUGCAGUUGUCCCAAACAACAACUUAACUGCUGCGUCAAGCUCCUACCCCUGUUGCCAGUUUUUGACUUGAAACCAAUGCCUGUGAGGGAUAUCUUAUAUGUAAAUCUUAUAUAUAAAUAUGUUUGAAUUUCUGAGUCAAAAACUGUAAACAAGGGCAGGAGUUGUGGUGUAGCAGGCCAAGCCACUGCUUGGGGCAUCUGCAUUCCAUAUGACAGUGCCUAGAGCGAGUUCUACCUCCACGUCCCAUCCAACUUUCUGCUAAUGCACAUCCUGGGAGGCAUCAGGUGGUGGCUCAAGCACUUGGGUCCCUGCCACCCAUGUGGGAGACACAGGUGGACCUGGGUCCCUGGCUCCUGGCUUCAGCCUGGAUGUUGUAGGCUUCUGGCAAGUGAACCAGCCAAUAAAAGACCUUUCUUUCUCUUGUUUGGCUUUUCAAAUAAAUAAAAAUAAAUUUAUUAAAAAACUAACAUUUUAACGUCCUUAAUACAUUUUAUUAAAUUGAUUUCCUAGAAUGUACUAAUUUACAAUCAGUAUUUUCUUAUGAGCUUGCAGUAUAAUCAUUUUAAUCUCUGAGGUAAGUCAAAAGAAAAGCUUAUCUUUUUUAAACUAAUAACCACCUUUAUUAUUUUUGUACAUGUUUAUUUUCAUUAUUUGAAAGGUAGCACAACAGAGAGAAAGAAAGAAAGAUCUUCCAUCGUCUGGUUCACUCCCCAAGUGACUGCAACUGCCAGGGCCUGGGUAGGCCAAAGCCAGGAGCCCAGUACUCCACCUGAGUCUCCAAUAUGGAUGGCACAGGCCCAAGUACUUGGGCCAUCAUCUUCUGCCUUCCCAGGAUACAUUAGCAGGGAACUAGAUCAGAAGCAGAGCAGCCAGGAUUCAAAUCAGCAAUUGGAUCUGGGAUGCUAUGCCACAGUGCCCACCCCACCACCUUUAUUAUUGUUUAGACAGUUUUAUUGAGAUACAACUCAUAAACCAUAAAAUUUACUCAAAGUACACAUUUUUGUUGGUUUUCAGUAUAUUCAUAGAGUUGUGCAACCAUCACCUCAAUCACUUUUAUAACAUUUUUAUCAUAUUAAAAACAGUCCCGGCCGGCGCCGCGGCUCACUAGGCUAAUCCUCUACCUAGUGGCGCCGGCACACCAGGUUCUAGUCCCAGUCGGGGUGCUGGAUUCUUUCCCGGUUGCCCCUCUUCCAGGCUAGCUCUCUGCUGUGGCCUGGGGAAGGCAGUGGAGGAUGGCCCAAGUGCUUGGGCCCUGCACCCCAUGGGAGACCAGGAGAAGCACCUGGCUCCUGCCAUCGGAUCAGCGCGGUGCACCGGCCACAGCGCGCCAGCCGUGGCGGCCAUUGGAGGGUGAACCAACAGCAAAAGGAAGACCUUUCUCUCUGUCUCUUUCUCUCACUAUCCACUCUGCCUGUCAAAAAAACAAACAAACAACAACAACAAAAAAAAACAGUCCCGUGACCAGUAUCAUGGCAUGGUAGGCUAAGCCUCCGCCUGCAGUGCCGGCAUCCCAUAUGGGUGCCAGUUUGAGACCCAGCUGCUUCAGCUCUCUGUUUAUGGUCUGGGAAAGCAGUGGAAGAUUCCCAAGUGCUUGGGCCCCUGCACCCAUGUGGGAGACCCAGAAGAAGCUUCUGGCUUCGGAUUGGUCCAGCUCCAGCUGUUGCAGCCAUUUGGAGAGUGAACCAGUGGAUGGAAGACCUUUCUCUCCCUCUCUCUGUAACUCUGCCUCUCAGAUAAAUAAAUAAAAUCUUUUAAAAAGAGCCCCCAUACUUAUUAGCCAUGACUCAUCUUUUCCCCCAAACUCCUCCUAUCCCGCAGCAGUCACUGAUCUACUUAAAGAUUACUCGAUCCUGAGCAUUUCCUAUAUGGAUCACACAGUAUGUGGCCUUUUGUGUCUGGCUUCUUUCACUUAGCAUAAUAUUUUUAAGGUUCAUUCAUGUUAUACAUACUUACAUCAGUACUUCCUUUCCUUUUUCACUAAAUAUUUCAUUGUAUAACUCAGAAUUCCCAUAUAUUUGGUAUAAUUUAUCCACUCAUCAGUUGGGUUCUCCCUCUUUGGCUAUUGUGAAUAAUUUAGCUAUGAACAUUUGUGUACAUGUUUUUUUAUGGACAUGUGUUUUAAUUUCUCAUGGGUAUACUCAUAUUAAAAAUGGAAUUAAAAGAGAAGUGUAUGCUAGUACAAAAUUUUUUAAAUUCAUAUGUAGUUUUUUCAACGUGCAUUUUCCAUAAAAUUUUUGAAGACCUUCUCAUGUGUAGAUUUCAAAUAAUUCUUGCACCAAAAUAAACAUAUUUUAAUUCCAUUUUUCCACGAACACCUUGACACCCCCUCAUGUGUAUUUGCAAGAGUAGAAUUGAUGGGUUAUAUGGCAACUCUUUAACCUUUUGAGGAACUGCCAAACUCUUCCAAAAGGGCCAUACCACGUUACUUUCCCACCAGCAAUGUAAGAGCUUUCCUAUUUCUCCAUACACUUGCUAACAUGUGUUACCUGUAUUACCUACAUAGUCAUCAUGAUAGUGUGAAGUGUUAUCUCAAGUAGUUUUGAUUUGCAAGAGUUCUUGAUGUAUUUUGAAUACCAGACCUUUAACAGAUAUAACUUGUGAAAUUUCCCUCCUGUUCUGUGGAUAUCUUUUCACUUUCUUGAAGGGGUCCUUUGAAGCACAAAAGAUUUUAGUUUUGAUAUUGUCCAAUCUAUCUGGCUUUCAUUUAUUACAUUGCCCAAUCCAUGUUCACAAAGAUAUAUACCUUUUUUUCUGUAAGAAUUUUAUAGUUUUUUUUUUUAGCUGUUUGAGCUGAUUUUGGUAUACAGUAUGAGAUAUGAGUCCAACUUCAUAUGGCUACCCAGUUGUCCUAGUGCUGAGAACAUUUUAAUAUCCCUGAUUAAUUUACGGCAAAUUAUCUUUCAUCUUGGCUGCUGACAUGGCCAUCCAGACUAAAAAAGACCCAGAAACUUCCCUGCCACAUGAGUCACAGCCAGAGGGCAAGCACCAAAGGCACCCAGGAGGCUGGAUCGCAGGCAUCACUACAGGAUCAACUUUGACAAAUAUCACGCAGGCUACUUUGGGAAAGUUGAUAUGAAGUGUUUCAACUUAAAGAGGAAGCAGAACUUCUGCCCUGCUGUCAGCCUUGAUGAAUUAUGGACCUUGGUCAGCAAGCAGACACCGGGAAAUGCCACUCCCAUCGUUGAUGUGCUGUGGUCAGGCUGCCUGGGGAGGGAGAGCUCCCAGAGCAGCCGUCAUCACGAAGGCUAAGUUACUCAGCAGAAGGCUGAGGGGAAGAUUAAGGCAAUGGGAGCGGUUAGGGGAGAGGGGCCUGUGUCUUGAUGACUUGAUGCCACAUGGUUCAUUAAAUGCUAACAAAUGCUUUAAAAUUUUUUUUUUUACACUGGAAAAUUUUUUUUCCUUUUUUUUAAAUCUUUUUUUUUUUUUUUUUUUUUGACAGGCAGAGUAGACAGAGAGAGAGAGAGAAAGGUCUUCCUUUGCCGUUGGUUCACCCUCCAAUGGCCGGCACACCGCGCUGAUCUGAAGGCAGCAGCCAGGUGCUUCUCUUGGUCUUCCGUGGGGUGCAGGGCCCAAGCACUUGGGCCAUCCUCCACUGCCUUCCCCGGGCCACAGCAGAGAGCUGGACUGGAAGAGGGGCAACCGGGACAGAAUCUGGCGCCCCGACUGGGACUAGAACUCGGUGUGCCGGCACCGCAGGCGGAGGAUUAGCCUAUUGAGCCACGGUGCUGGCCUUAUACUGGCAAAUUUCUGUAUGCCUUCUUAAUGUUUGCUUGUAUCAAAUACAUCUUCUCUAUUGUCUAGAGAGCAGAGGUGUCAGUUUCAUGGAAACAUUGCAAGAAAAACUUCCCAAGUGGUAGUUUUCCACAUGGACUCUUGUGUGUUUUUUUCCCCACAAGGCAAGAAAUGACUAGAGAAAAAAUUCUUAGAUUUAGAAGAUUUUACACAUCUGUUUGUCUAAAUUCCCUUCCACCUCCAUUUUCAUUGGCUACUUUCUUCUGUGUCUGUGUCUGUCCUGCUGUCUUCUUUGAGGUCAUUGGAUUUUGUACCCACCUUGGCAAUCCAGGUUGAUAUUAGUUCAGGGAUCCUUGACUUGAUUACAUCUGAAGAGAUCCUUUUUCCAAAAAAGAUCACAUUUACAGGUUCAUAGCAUUAGGACAUGAACAUAUCUUUUUGAGGGCCAGCAUGCUACCCACUAUACCACCAUCUCCCCUAUCUCGCUGCACUUUUUGCCAGGUUUACUUUAUAACGCCCCUGAUAGCGAGUUGAAGAGUUUGCUGUCAUGGCAUAUUGAUUAUUUUACAUGGCCAUACAUUCUUUUUAUGAGCAGCUCUAAAGCUUAAAAAUUAUUCCUGCUAUUGUGCCAAAACCUGUCAUGAGAUACUUGACAGUACAUUUCCAGGUCUCUCCUACACAGUUAUAGGGGAUAAGAAAGAUGGGUGCCAUGGUUUAUCUGGUUGAGGAUUAACACAUGCAAUGCCUCUCCAGUGCCUCUCUAUUAUUCUGAUACUGCAUUCUAAACAAAAUGAUAUCUUCAAAGAUCAAUAAGAUAAGAAGAAGGGGGAGUGUAUUGAUAUGAAUAUGGCGGUUAGAGACAUUUAUAGUGACAGCAGGUGGAGGUCAGUAUCCUACUGUGACUGUAGGGUGGAUGUGUGUGCAAAUGUAUGUGUGUGAGGGUACAACAGCAGGGGCCCUGGAGGUAGUCUAACAAGUCAUGUCACUCCUUGGCUUCUCACAGCUGUGCAACUUUUCUAAGUUGAUGUUAUAAUAUUCAAGAUUCAUAUUCCUUUUUGAAAAUCACAAUAAUGUGUUUUUAUCUCCAGACUUUCAUUCUCCCCAUUCUCUCUUCUUCAAGUGGUAAUCUGUAUUUGUUUGCAUGGUUAUACAUGCAAAUUCUUGGUCUCUUGGGUGAAAUUCAUUCAGAAAUAUCAAAGUGAACUCUGAAGUAACUGUCUUUCAUUCAUUUCACUUGUACUUCUUUUUGCGUUCAAUCUUUUCUCAAAUAUUUCCAACUUGAGCAUCACUUUGAACAUUUUUUAUUAGUUGACUUUGCUUAGUAUUACACUAACUUCUCUAAACAAAUAAAAAAACUUGAGGCUAGUCACUAAACCUGACCACAUGAACAAUGAAGAUUAAAGGAUGCCAGACUCAGAGGCCUCACUAAAGACAAGCACCAGAGACAUCCCUAGAGGAACUGUGUUCACCAACAUGCAAGCUAUAGAGACAUUAUUCAUUAAGAAUUCAUGCCUGAAUUCCAGUCUUUGGAAAGGAUGUCCUCAAAAAUUGGCAUAUAUCCAGCAGUAAUACAGAUUUAUUUUUUUUUAAGAUUUAUUUAUUUAUAUGAAAGAGUUACACAGAGAAGGAGAAUCAGAGAGAGAGAAGGCUUCCAUCUGCUGGUUCACUCCUCAAUUGACCGCAACAGCUGGAGCUGUGCUGAUCCGAAGCCAGGAGCCAGGAGCUUCUGCCUGGUCUCCCACAUCGGUACAGGGGCCCAAGGACUUGGGCCAUCUUCUACUGCUUUCCCAGGCCACAGCAGAGAGCUGGAUUGGAAGUGGAGCAGCUGGAACUCGAACCAGCGCCCAUGUGGAAUGCUGGCACUGCAGGUGGCGGCUUUUCCUGCUAUGCCACAGUGCCGGCCCCAGUAAUACAGACUUAUUUUAAAAAACUUCAGACCAAAACUCAAGAAAUAAAAACCACAAGUGGAGCCCGUGCUGUGGCAUAGUGGGUUAAGCCGCCGCCUGCAGUGCCAGCAUCCUGUGUGGGUACCGGUUCGAGUCCUGGCUGUUCCACUUCCAAUCCAGCUCUCUGCUAUGGCCUGGGAAAGCAGUAGAAGUUGGCCUAAGUCCUCGGGCUCCUUAUCCACAUGGGAAAGCCAGAAGAAGUUCCUGGCUUCUGUCUUUGGAUUGGCCCCAGCUCUGGCCAGUGCAGCCAACUGGGGAGUGAACCAACAGAUGGAAGACCUCUCUCUCUCCCUCUCUUCUCCCUUCUUCCCUCCCUCCCUCCCUCCCUGCAUCCAUCCCUCUCUCUCUCUCUCUGCUUCUCCUUCUCUCUUCUCCCUCUGUGUAACUCUGACUUUCAAAUAAAUAAAUCUUAAAAAAAAAAAAAAAAAAAGCACACAAGCAUUUUCAGUAAAAUCAGCAAAAAGUCAGCAAUAGCAAUUACCUUAGGGAGAAGUCUGAAGAAAAUUAGGCAUACCACCCAGAUCUGCUAAUGGGGACCAGUCUUGUUUCCCUGAUUUCUAUAAAUCAUCUGAUAUCUUCAGCCCAAGUUAGCAUAUUCUAAUUUCAGGAUCUCUAAAAACCACUAUGUAUAAAUUAGCCUAUUAUGGUACUGCUAAAACCCUGACAUAUAUUGGCUCUUCCCCAUUUUGGACCCUGAAGUUCUUUUCCCAAGUUGAAGUUCUAAUUCUUUGAUUUCUUCACCUCUAUGUAGAAUUUACAGUUCUGACCUGUAAGAAAGAAUAAAAUGGUCAUUGAGGGUAGGGAAAAAAAUGUUAUCUCAUGCUUGGCCUUUGUUUGUAUUGGGUUUUCAUGUGUCCUCUAAUAAAUGCAUCUCCAGUGGGUUUUUUUUUUCCUCUUAUGGCUGUUUCCCUCUGUCUUUCCCUCAUCAGAUUCGAUUAUAUUAUAAUUUUGUUCUUAAAACCUUACAUUCCAUCUGUCUUGGAUUAAACUCUCCCUUUUUUAAAACAACUUUAUGCAUUUAAUGAAUACAAAUUGGGAACAUGGUGAUUCUUCCUUCCCCCACCUCUCACCCAUACUGCCUCCUUCCUUUCCCAUUGUUCAAAAGUCUCUCCUCUACUGCACCAGAACACCAGCCUCACAUUCCUUCAUAGUGAUGGUUAUCUUACUGUGUUUCUGUGUGGAGCACAUCCUUAACCAUCUUUUGUUAGGCUGGAUGAGUGAAGACAAAUUCUUUUCAUUUCUGUUUGUUAUGGAAGGUCUUUAUUUCACCUUCAUUCAUAAAUGAGAGCUUUGCAGGUUACAGUAUCUGAGUUGAUGGGUUUCUCUCUCUCUCUCUUAAAGUUUUAUUUAUUGAUUUGAAAUUCAGAGUUACACAGAGAGAAAGAGGCAGAGAGAGAGUGGGGUGGGGGGGUCUUCCAUCCACUGGUUCACUCCCCAAUUGGUUUCAAUGGCCAAAACCGAGCUGAUCCGAAGCCAGGAGCUGGGAGCUUCUUCCAGGUCUCCCACGCGGGCACAGGAGCCCAAGCACUUGAGCCAUCUUCUACUGCUUUCCCAGGCCAUAGUAGAGAGCUACAUCAGAAGUGGAGCAGCCGGGGCUCAAACUGGUGGUCAUAUGGGAUGCCGGCACUGUAGGCGGCGGCUUUACCCGCUGCGCCACUGCGCCGGCCCCAGUUUUUUUUUCUCUUAAGAUUUGGACUAUAUCAUGCCAUUCUCUCCUAGCCUGUGGGGUUUCUGAUGGGGAGUCAGCUGUAAGUCUAAUUGGAGAUCCUCUGAAAGUAAUCUGGCAUUUCUCUUGUGCACAUUUGAGAAUCUUUUCUUUAUGUUUUACCAUGGUGAGUUUGACUGCAUUGUGUUGUGGUGAAGAUCUUUUUUGGUCCUGUCUAUUAGGAGUUCUGUGUGCUUCCUCUACUUGGACGUCCCUUUCUUUCUCCAAAUUAGGAAAGUUUUCUGUAAUUAUUUCAUUAAAAAGGCCUUCUAGUCCCUUCUCUCUUUCCACACCUUUAAGCACUCCUAAGACCCGUAUAUUGGGUCGUUUGGUAGUAUCCCACAGAUCUCCAACAAUGUGUUUAGUUUUUUUAAUUUCUUUCUUUCUUUCUUUCUUUUUUUUUUUUUUUUUUUGGUCUGACUAUAAGAUUUCCAGAGAUUUGUCCUCUAACUCAGGUAUUCUUUCUUCUGCCUCACCAACUCUGUUGUUAAGGCUUUCCUCUGCAUUUUUUAUUUAAUCUAUUGAAUUCUUCAUUUCUAAUAUUUCAUUUUUAUUUUUCUUCAAAAUCUCAAUUUCAUGGGAAAAAUUUUCAUUCAUGUCAUGUAUGGAUUUCUUUGGUUCAUGGAUUUGCUUCUGAUUGCUUUUGAGUAAUCCUGUUUAAUUUUUUUAAUUCUGUUUCCAGCAUUUCCUCAAUCUCUUCAUCUUCACCUUCUAAUAUUGUGUCUUCCUUAUCCUUGUUUCUUAAAUUUCUGCAUUUAUUUUUAGACAUUUGUGGAAUUUUUUUUCCUCUGAUGGCUUUUAUCUUUGAGCUGUGCCUCUGUGGCUAGAGGAAUGUCUGUACUCUCAGUGGAUACCAAGAGGUGUGUGGUGAAUGUGGCCAGGGAGGUCUGGUCAGUGCUCCAGGAUGGGGUGAGUACCCAGAGUAAUACUCAAGUUGGACAUGGUGACUCUUCUCUGGUUAACUGGAUGGAGAGAAAUGUUUUCCUCUGUUGGUGCAAACACCCCUUCUCCUGCAAUCUGAGGAGUGCCCAGGUGUUAGCAACCAGUGUGUUCAAUGUUCUUCCACACUGCCCUGUAAACUGUGCAGUCCUUCCUGUGGGCACGAUUCCCUCUCAUGUGAGCUGCUCUAGGCAACCAAGGAGCUCUGAGAGUGCAGCAGCACUCUGUGAUUGCCCAGAACCCAGCUACACCAUGCCUCCUUGCACACAGUCAGAGUGUUUAUUCAGUCUCAGCACCCAGUGCUCUCAGGGUCAAGGAGUACAAGUGGCCACUCUGCCCUGCUAGCCUAUCCUGUCUGCAGGGAGACUGAGGUAUUCCCAGAGCUGCUGUCCAUGUGUGUUCCUGCCCACUGGAUGGAGUCCAGUUCUCCAACCAGAUUCAAAGUCAGUGGGGAACGUGAGUUUUUCUCUCUGCUAAGAUCUCUGGAUCACAGGCACACACAGAACCCGCCAGCCACAGCCUCAUUUGCCUCAUAAUUGUGCUGGGUACAUAGGAGAGUCCCAGAGGCAGCACUUCCCUUCCAUAGGGAUGGCUUCCCCCUCCCCACCUGUUCCCUGGUGGGUGUAGCUGGUGUGGUGAAGAUCAUCCCCAUCAGUUGUCAGUUGCUCUUUUUUUUUUUUUUUUAAUUUGGAGCUCAAAGACUUAUUUAUUUAUUUAUUUUUCCCAAAGAAACUUUAUUUAAGGAAUACAAACCUCAUGCAUUUCCUGAAUACAACUUUAGGAACACAGUGAUUCUUCCCACCAUACCUGCCUUCCUACCCCUCUUCCUCUUCCCUCUUCUAUUCCCAGUCUUAUUUUUUAUUAAGAUCUAUUUUCAGUUAACUUUAUACACAUAAAAUUAACUCUAUACUAAGAAUUCAACAAGUUGUAUGAAAAAAAGCGGUUCCUUAACAGUCAAGACAAGGGCUGUUCAAAGUCAUUGCAUCUUGAAGUUGAUUUCACUUUUUUUUUUUUUUUGAGAAACUUAAUUAAAUUUUUUUUAGAUUUAUUUUAUUAUAUUUCAAAGACAGAGUUACAGAGAGGUAGAAACAGAGAGAAAGGUCUUCCAUCUGCUGGUUUACUCCCCAGAUGGCCGCAACAGCCGGAGCUGUGCCAAUCCAAAGCCAAGAGCCAGGAGCUUCUUCUGGGUCUCCCACGCGGGUGUGGGGGCCCAAGGACUUGAGCCAUCUUCUACUGGCUUGCCAGGCCAUAGCAGAGAGCUGGAUUGGAAGAGGAGCAGCUGGGACUAGAACCAGCGCCCAUAUGGGAUGCCUGUGCUUCAGGCCAGGGCUUUAACCCACUGCGUCACAGUGCCAGCCCUGAGAAACUUAAUUAACCUUAAAGAAGAACCCAAGAAUGAUACAUCAUUUGCUAGCACUUACACAUAACUAUAACUUAUGAGACAUAAGAUUAUCUUCCACUUAAUACACUAAAACAAGUAAAUCUUUGAGAACAAGUUUUACUGUUAACUUUCAUAAUCCAACUCUUUGAGGACAGAGGUCCUGCAUGGGAAGUUAGUGCACAGUGACUCUUGUUAAUUUAACAAUUAACAUUCUUACCUGAGGUUCUUGACAUGAGCUGCCUAGGCUAUGGAAGCCUUUUGAAUCCACAAACUCCUUCAGUAUUUAGACAAGGCCAUAAGCAAAAUAGAAGUUCUCUCCUCCCUUUAGAGAAAAGUACCUCCUCCUCCUUUGAUGACCACAUCAAUUGAUCUUGAACUGCUGUGGUUGCCCCUGCUGACUGGGUGGAGGUUGACCCUGACAGUUGCUGGGUGUGUGCACAAGAGCUGGAAUAGCUGCUACCUGCUUAUGUCCAAAAAUGGCGCCAGCCCUCCCACCACUGGCUGCAGGUCACUGUUGUAGGGGAGGGAGGGGGAGAGAGAGGGUUGUACCACUUUUUUCCCCCACUCUGGGUGAGCAGUUGCCCCGCUGCCCUGAGGGAUCUGGGCCAGACUCAAAAGUGGUGCAGGUCACUAAGCUCUCCCUCCAGCUGCAUCAACAGCAGCGCAGGCCUGUGCAGUCCAGUCUCACCUGGUUUGCCAGGACGGGCAUUUUUUCCUGGCUCCAAGCUGCUGCGACCUUUGUUGUUUCAUUGCUCCUCGCUGUGUGCCUGCACCUUCCACACAGGUCUGGGCCUGUGCUUUCUAGGGCUUUCGCAGGACCUCCCAUUGCAGUUUGCCCUGCAGCUUCACCCUGAGAGUGGACUUUCUCACCUUUUUUUUUUUUUUUUUACAUUAAUUUCACCACCAGCCUAAAUUAGACCACUCUUCACUAUUCUACCAUCUUGGAACCCCUGAUUAAACUCUGUUUUAUAGUUUCUGACUUGGAUUAUACCUCUGAACACUGAAAUUCAGUCUCUUAGAGUCGAGGGUUUUCCCAUGCCAAAUGUUUCCUUCCUUUGCUGUUACAAGCACACUCAAUUCUUUUCAAGCUCGUGUCGUUCCUUCAUCACCUAUAGUGUCCUCCUUGUCAGUCAUUAGAAAUAAAAUUGUCAAUAUGGAAACAGUUUAACAGGUGCUCUACUUUUACCAGAACAAAACUUCUCCCUCAUGGGUGGCAAGGUGAUGUCUCCCAGUACUCCUCUAUGUUGUGUCUGUAUCCCUUUAUCAGGAAGUCUCACUGUGGUUUAGCCACAACAGUAUCACUGGAGUUGAACUACCUUUCUAGUGUCAUGACCUUUGCCUCCGUGAGUUAACCUUCCAGGUUUACUUUUCUCAUUAUCCAUAUUCUAGAGAUUGGUAUUAGGAAUGAGGCCAUUAGCUUGCUUUCUUCCUACUUGAGUUUUUGUAGUAAAUUAUUGGGAGACUGUACUAAUGUUGGCAUCGCACCAGCACCUCUGUGUGGCAGUUCUGCUCAUUUUUAGGUAAUCUUACAAGACUUCAAACUCUACCCUGUUUUUGACUUUAUUUUAAAAAAAAUUUUUUUUUGAUAGGCAGAGUGGACAGUGAGUGAGAGAGAGACAGAGAGAAAGGUCUUCCUUUUUCCGUUGGUUCACCCCCCAAUGGCCGCUGCAGCCAGCAUGCUGCACACCAUGCUGAUCCGAAGCCAGGAGCCAGGUGCCUCUCCUGGUCUCCCAUGCAGGUGCAGGGACCAAGGACUUGGGCAAUCCUCCACUGCCCUCCCGGGCCACAGCAGAGAGCUGGCCUGGAAGAGGGGCAACUGGGACAGAAUCUGGUGCCCCGACCAGGACUAGAAUUUAUUUAUUUAUUUGAGAGGUAGAGUUACAGACAGUGAGAGGGAGAGACAGAGAGGAAAGUCUUCCGUCCAUUGGUUCACUCCCCAAAUGGCCACAACAGCUGCAGCUGCGCCAGUCCGAAGCCAAGAGCCAAGAGCUUCUUCCAGGUCUCCCAUGAGGCUGCAGGGGCCCCAAGGACUUGGGCCAUCUUCCGCCGCUUUCCCAGGCCAUCAGCAGAGAGCUGAUCGGAAGAGGAGCAGCCAGGGCUAGAACCAGCACCCAUAUGGGAUGCCGGCACUACAGGCGGAGGAUUAACCUACUGCACCACAGCACCAGCCCCCCUGUUAUUGACUUUAAUGUUUGCUUCAUAUAGCUAAUAGCAGAAGUGAAACAUUCUUCUUUCCCCCUCUCAUUUCCUUAAAUGCAUGGCAGAUUUGGAUGAAAUGAACUCUUUUAAGGAAAUUAAGCAAAGGGUGUGCUGUUUGCCAGAUACUAUCUUUUAACCAGCAUUGAUAGAGUCCAAGUUUAGGGAAAAGAAAGGAUGGCAAAUAAAGUCAAAGUAGGCUUCUUCAGAAAUUUAAAAAACCUUUAAAGUACCACCUAAUAUCAUCAUUAGAUAGGUAGCAGACAGGAUUGGAUGGAUGGGUGGAUGGGUAAUCUGAAGACCUUCUCCUUUAUGGGAGCCAAAUUUAUUCAUUCUUUCUUUCUGAGCAAAGCAAAGGGUGUUUAUUACAGAGUCAGAGAAAGCUCUCCAGCAGCUGGGAGUGCCUCCCCGAAGGGCUGCUUGCCUAAACUGCUUCCAAAUUGUUUUUUAAAUCAGAUAAACACCUGAACUAUCAAGGAUAGAUUUAUUUAGCAAAUAUUCCUAUAGACUUUACUGUGGGAUAUAUUACAAAAUGCUUUUCAAACAAUAACUUAAUCUUCAUUACAGGAAAGGAAAUAUUAUUCAGUCCCACUUUACUAAUAGGAUGAGGAAAUUGAGGCUUAAAAGAGUUUAUAUAACAUCCUUAAGGUCACUUAAGCUAGAAAUUUGAAUUCAAGAAAUCUUACUUCAGAGUCUGCUUCUUAAAUAUUAUGUCAUGCAACCUUUCCCAUCUAUUUUUCUCCCAAAGUUUCAAUGGAGAAAAAUGCUACAACCUUUACCAGAAAACACCUUAUGCAGGGCAGGUGUUGUGUGGUACAAUCAUGACAUGGAAUGCCUGCAUCCCAUAUUGGAGUGCCAGUUGGAGUCUUGGCUACUCUGUUUCCAAUCCAGCUUCCUGCUGUUGCAUCUUGGGAGGCAACAAGAGAUGGCUCAAGAGUUGGGCCUUUGCCACACGCAUGGGAGACCCAGAUUGAGUUCUGGGCUCCUGGCUUUGGUCCGGCCCAGACCCAACUCUUAGGUACCUUUGGAGAAUGAACCAGUGAAUAAAAGCUCGUACUCUCUCUGACUCUACUUUAUCUUCUUUGUCAGUAGAUAAAGAAAUAAACAUUUAAAAAAGUACUACAGCAUACGAAAAGGGAGUCAGGUCUGGAAGCAUUAUAAAAUGACACUUUUAAAAAAAGAAAAUACCUAAUGAGCAUGAAAUAUCUUUAAAAGCUAUGUAUCUGAAUAAGGCCUUUGUCAGAUGUAUAGCACCUUGACUUUCUUCGUUACAGCUUUCCCAAAAGCUGCUUAGUUGGAGUGUUCCCUCCUCAUUAUUAUUGUCUGUUUGUUCCACCCACUCCUUUCCCAACCUCAAAUUGCAUGAUUUGUAUCUAGCUCUCAUUUGUGUAUCUUUGACCACAAGCUCCUUUUUGUUAGGGGACUGUGAGAAGUUUAUUGUGUCCAGGGUUAGACUAAUGAGGUCCUUUCAUCUAUUUCUUUUUUACCUUAAUUAUAAUUCUUGCCUGCUAAUUAUUUCUGCCUACCCGUGUUCAUGUAUAGUCUGCUCUUUGCAUGUAAGUUUUGUUAGUGUCAGAAAUGCUUUCCCAUGUCUGCCUUUUUUUUUCUGUUUCUUUUCUAAGUAUAUUAAUCUUUAUUGUCUUAAGAGAAAUUCUGUUGUAAUUAAUUUCACAUAUAAUGACUUACUGUGUACAUGAACUUCCUGGGACCUCUGAAUAAAUCUACUGAGGACUUCUUUGGUAAGGAAUUUUUCUCCUGUGAUGAAGAGAAAGAGUCCCAAGAAAAUAAAUCAGUAAACAGAAAACUAAGGAUUCCAUUUAAUACCUGCUUUUCUUUCCAGUACUUGAUGUGUUUUAAAAUUGGUUUAUGCUUUCCUUUUUGGUAGUUUUCACAUUUCCCUGGUGACUGUACAACUGUCUAAUCUAUAAUUAUAGUGAGAAGAUUAGAAAAUAAUUAAGAAGUUAGCUCCUUGUAAGUCACCUACCUCUAGCCUAACCAAAGCUGUAGCAAGUGGUAGGUAACAUGAAGUUGUCACUAGACUGCUUGUGACUCAAUGACACCAGUUAUUACUCUCAUAAAAGCUACCAACCUGGGGCCGAUGUUGUGGUUUAGCAGAUUAAGCCACCGUCGGCAGCAACAGCAUUCCAUAUGGGCACCAGUUCAAAUCCCAGCUGUUCCACUUCAAUCCAGCUCCCUGCUAAUGUGCCUGGGAAUGCAACAGAGAAUGGCCCAUGUCCUUGGCCUCUGUACCCAUGCGGGAGACCCAGAAGAAGUUUCUGGCUCCUGGCUCUUGGCUUCAGCCUGGCCCAGCCCUGACUGUUGUAGCCAUUUGGGCAGUGAACCAGCAGAUGGAAGAUCUCUCUCUGUCUCAUUUUCUCUCUCUGUAACUCUGCCUAUCAAAUAAGUAAAUAUUAAAAAAAAAAAAAAGCCACCAAUGGAAGUCUGUAUAUUUUAGUGUAUAAUUGUUGCUAUUUAUGCCAUGAUGUUUCUCAAGAAACUGCUGGGGUUUUUGUGAGCCAUGUAAACCUUCAAAUGUGAACCUUCAAUAGUCAUUAAAUUUGUAUUGACUCCUUGUCAUGUGCUAGUCAUUAUACUAGGAACCAAGGCAGAUAUGAAGAUGAAUAAAAUGUAGUUCUUCUUGUCAAGGAGCUUAUAAUCCCAUACAUGCCCAAAUUGUUAAUAUGUAGAAUAUUUAUAAGGAUUACAAGAAAUGCUUAAGCGGAGCCAGUGCCAUGGCUCACUUGGUUAGUCCUCUGCCUGCGACGCCAGCAUCCCAUGUGGGUGCCGGAUUCUGGUCCUGGUUGCUCCUCUUCCAGUCCGGCUCUCUGCUGUGGCCCUGGAAGGCAGUGGAGGAUGGCCCAGGUGCUUGGGCCCUUGCACCCGCAUGGGAGACCAGGAAGAAGCACCUGGCUCCUGGCUUCAGAUGAGUGCAGCGCCGGCCGUGGCGGCCAUUUCGGGACUGAGCCAGCGGAGAGAGGACCUUUCUCUCUGUCUCUUUCUCUCUCACUGUAACUCUACCUGGCAAAAAAAAAAAAAUCUUUAAAAAAAAAAUGCUUAAGCAAAGAGCUGAAAACAUUCAUAGACUAAGGAAAAUUACUGUUGGCUAAAGAGGAAUCAAAGAGUCCUUUAUGGAGAAACUUGCAUUUAGGUUGUUUUGUUUUUAUUAUUUUUUCAAAGCCCACAGUCUUUUUUUGUUUGUUUUUUAAAUAUUUAUUUAUUUUAUUUGAAAGGCAGAGGCAGAGAGAGAGGUCUUCCAUCUGCUGGUUUACUCCCCAAGUGGCCACAAUGGCUGGAGAUGUGUUGAUCCAAAGCCAGGACCCUGGAGCUUCUUCCGAGUCUCCCACAUGAGUGCAGAGGCCCAAGGACUCGGGCCAUCUUCCAUCUGCUUUUCAGGUCAUAGUAAUGAGCUGAGUCAGAAGUGGAGCAGCUGGGACUCAAACUGGCACCCACAUGGGAUGCCGGAACUGCAGGUGGCAGCUUUACAUGCUAUACCGUAGCACUGGCCCCUUGUUUUGUUUUUUAAAGAUUUAUUUAUGCCGAAGGAAGAGUAUCAGAGAAAGAGAAAGAAGAAGGAAGGGAACGAGAGAAAGAUCUUUCAUUUAUCUGCUGAUUCACUCCCCAAAUGACUGCAACAGCCAGGGGCUGGACCAGGCUGAAGACGGGAGCCUGGAAUUCCAUCCUGGUCUCCCACAUAGGUGCAGGGGCCCAAACCGUUGGGCCAUCUGCUGCUGCUUUUUCAGGUCAUUAGCAGGGAAUGGAUUGAAAGUGGAACAGCUGGGAAUUGAACCAGCACUCACCAAAAAGGAAACCUGUUAAAGUGAAAUGAACACUGCGAGAAACAGUGACUUGAUCAGCCCUCACCCUGACUGUUGAUGAGCAACUUAAUAUGUUAUCCCUCUUAGUAUUUUUGUUUGUUUGUUCUACUUAAUACUUUUGGUUGAAUACUGUAAUCAAUACACAAUUCUUCUUAAGUGCUGAAACUUAACUGAAAAGUGAUCGCUGUUAAAUAUAAGAGUGGGCAUAAGAGAGGGAAGAGAUGUGCAAUUCGGGACAUGCUCAAGCUGACUUACCUCAAACGGUAGAGUUAGAAACAUACCAGGGGAUUGCAAUUCAAUCCCAUCAAGGUGGCAUGUACCAAUGCCAUCUCACUAGUCCCAGUGAUCAAUUUCUGUUCACAAUUGAUCAUAAUGAUAGGACUAAGAACCAAAGGGAUCACAUAAACAAGAAUAGUGUCUGCAAAUACUAGCUGAUAGAAUAAAAAAGGGAGAGAACGAUCCAACAUGGGAAGUGAGAUACACAGCAGACCCAUAGAAUGGCAGAUGUCCUAAACAGCACUCUGGCCUCAGAAUCAGCCCUUAAGGCAUGCGGAUCCGGCUGAAAAGCCCAUGAGAGUAUUACAGGCAUGGAAAGCCAAAACACUCUGGCAUUUAAAAAAAAAAAAAAAACUAAAUGAAAGAUCUCUGUGAGUGAGAUCCCAGUGGAAAGAACGGGUCAUCAAAGAAGGAGGUACCUUUCUCUGAAGGGAGGAGAGAACUUCCACUUUGACCAUGGCCUUGUCUAAAUAUGAUUAGAGUCGGUAAACUCAGGGGGCUUCCAUAGCCUUGGCAGCUCAUGACAAGAGCCUAGGGUGAUUACUGAUGCCAUAAACAAGAGUGUCAAUUUGUUAAGUCAACAACAGGAGUCACUGUGCACUUACUCCUCAUGUAGGAUCUUUGUCCUUAGUGUGCUGUACAUUGAGAUUUAAUGCUAUAACUAGUACUCAAACAGUAUCUUUCACUUUAUGUUUCUGUGUGGGAGCAAACUGUUGAAAUCUUUACUUAAUGUAUGCCAAACUGAUCUUCUGUAUAUAAAGAGAAUUGAAAAUGAAUCUUGAUGUGAAUGGAAGUGGGGAGGGAGAGGGAAAGGGGAGGGUUGCGGGUGGGAGGGACGUUAUGGGGGGAAGCCAUUGUAAUCCAUAAGCUGUACUUUGGAAAUUUAUAUUCAUUAAAUAAAAGUUAAAAAAAUUUAAAAAAAAAAAAAAAGGAAAGAGGAAAUUAAAUUAAGCACCCAGUUGAGAAUAGUUGGCUAGACAAACAAAAGCUUGCAUUGUCUUUAUGAUAUUAUCUUUGGUUCUCUACAAAAUCAAAUUACUUCCUUAUAAUUUUAGUAGAUUCCAAUUAUUUACCUUAAAAGCCAUGUUAUGUUAAUAAAACACAUUGAUAUAAGGUCUUCUUGGGAGCAUAAAAAUCAUCUGUGGCUUAGGACGCCUUCAUUCAAGUGUCUUCAGCUUUGUACCAGGUUUUUGUUUUAAAGAUUUAUUUUUUUCUUUAUUUGAAAGGCAGAGUUAGAGGGAAAGGCAGAGAGAGAAAGAGAUCUUCCAUCCACUGGUGCAUUCCCCCAAAAGGCUGUAAUGGCCAGGGCUAGGCCAGACUGAAGCCAGGAGCCAGCAGCUUCUUCUGGGUCUCCUAUGUGGGUGCAGAGGCCCAAGCACUUGGACCAUCUUCAGCUGCUUUCCCAGGUGCAUUAGCCAGGAGCUGGAUCAGAAGUGGAGCAGCCAGGACUGGUGGCCAUGUGGGAUGCUGGCAUUGCAGGUGGUGGCUUUAUGAUCUAUGCCACAAUGCUGCUCCCUGCCCCAAGUUUUCUGCUUUUUGUUUUGAAAGAGACUAAAUGUUCUAUCCACUACUUCUCUGCCCAAAUGGCCAUAACAGCCAGGGCUGGGCCAGGCUGAAGCUAGGAACCCAGAACUCAAUCUGAGCCACCACCACUGGGCUCACAGGGUACACAUUAGCAAGAAGCUGAAAUCAGAAAUGGAGCUAAGACUCAAACCCAGGCACUCCAACAUGGGAUGCAAAUGCUCUAGGUGGGUCCUUAACUAUUGUGGCCAGUGUCCACCCCUGUACCGGCCUUUAAUGUUCUUCCUCCUCUUCCAUUUUGUGUAUCCUUAGGCAGUAAGAAUCCCAGCAGAAACAAGAGACUGUUUACUUCUUUCAGGGACUCUUUUUCUUGUAGGCAGGUCUCAAUUUAUAUCUUACAGCAAAAAGAAAUAAAUGAGAAUUGGGGCAUAUUAGGAAUGUUUGUUAAAAUUAUAUUACAAUCGUCCGGCGCCACGGCUCACUAGGCUAAUCCUCCGCCUUGCGGCUCCAGCACACCGGGUUCUAGUCCCAGUCAGGGCGCCGGAUUCUGUCCCGGUUGCCCCUCUUCCAGGCCAGCUCUCUGCUGUGGCCCGGGAGUGCAGUGGAGGAUGGCCCAAGUGCUUGGGCCCUGCACCCCAUGGGAGACCAGGAGAAGUACCUGGCUCCUGCCAUUGGAUCAGCACGGUGCGCCAGCCGCAGUGUGCAGGUCGCGGCGGCGGCCAUUGGAGGGUGAACCAACGGCAAAGGAAGACCUUUCUCUGUCUCUCUCUCUCACUGUCCACUCUGCCUGUCAAAAAAAAAAUUACAAUCAUAAAUCCCUUUCUUUUUUAAAAUGUGUAUUUGAAAGGCAGAGAAAAAGAAAUGAGAGAGAGAGACAGACAGACAGAGAGAUGUCCCAUCCAUUGGUUCACUCCCCAAAUGCCUACUAUAGAGGAGACUGGGCCAAGCUGAAGCCAGGAGCAAGGAACUCAAUCAAGGUCUCCCAUAUGUGUGGUAGGGACCCAACCAGUAAAGCCAUCACAUGCUGCUUCCCAAAGUGUGCAUUGUCAGAAAGCUGGAAUCAGGAUCAGAAUCGGAACUCAAGUCCAGGCACUCUUACAUGGGAUGCAGGCAUCUCAAGCAGCAUCUUAAACACUAUGCCAAAUGCCUGCAUCAAAUUCUUGUUUCUUAAUUGAUAGAACAAUCAAUUUAAAGCUUAAAAUCAUAAGCACUAGUUUCACAAUAUUAAAUUUUCAAAGAUACUAGUAAAUCCAUUGAAUGUUACUGCCUUUCUUUGUAUGUGAUGAAGAGAAAAGAUUCCAUCUAACUUAAAAUAAAUGCAGGUAUUUUCAAAGAGCAUGAAGAUCUUAGCCUGUAGUAUGCCAGGCUCUUCAUUUGAGUUCUCCCCCAUUUCAAAAAUACCAUGAUUCCCACAUGUCCUGUAGAUGGCAGUAGCUAUAUGGAAAAAUCUAAGUUCAUUCAAGAGGUUUAAGAGUGAUUAACAGAUGGAGUCUUUAGUGAAUAAGAUUUAGUUGAAAUAUUUGUUCUUUGUCAAUGUUUGUUACUGAUUUUAAAAAAUCAGUUAUAAUUUCUCUUACUCAUGAUGUUUCCAUUUAAUUGUCUUCUGUCGUCACCUGACCUUCCCACCCUUCACUUUGGUUUCAGAAAUCACAUUAUACACCAUUUCUCUUUAGAGGGCAGUGAUUGGAAACUGGGUGAUUGCACACACAAUAGCAUCUUGUGUAAAGUUUCAUCUCAAGAAAGCAGACUGUCAGAUGAUAAAAAUCCUCACAGGAACAGUAAACCAGAGCCAUAUAUGUUUCAAAUGCACAUUUAUUACAAAUCUACAGCUCAGAGUCAAUCAAGUAUAUUUUUGCAUGGGGAGAAGUAGCUUAUUCGGGAAUAUGAGAAGCUUUCUCGUUCUCCCUGCAUAGUGGGGAUUUUUGAAGGGGGAUUCACUCAGUAUUUAAUGAGUGCUUAUGGUAGGCCCUAUGCACCCUGCACUACCUCAGUGAAAGGACAUGAUACUGCCUUCAGACAGCCUUCCCAAGUCAGUAAAGUGUGGUAAUUGCUGUGUCUGGAGAAGGCUACUUCAGAAAUGGAUAGUAUUGGUUGCCUUUGGGGUGAGAAACUAGGUGGUUAGGGGAUAGAGUGGGAGAGAAGCUUCUCAUUGAGUUAAGACUCUGCUGUUUGAACCAUGGUGGAUUUACUACCCAUAUAAAAAUAAAGCUAGAUUUCCUUGGUAUGUCUUAUUACCACAUCUGAGGACAAUACAUCAAUUUUCUUUUACUUAGAGGGUUGUGUAGCCUACUAAACUUCUACUAAACAUUUACUAGAUAGAAACGUAUUGCACAGGAUCAUUAAAGUAUCUAACAUUUUUGGUUUUGGUUACAGGGAACUUCCCGCUUUUUAUUUUUCAUGCCUCUCACUUAGUAUAUCCGAUAAACAUCAAGUGGCUGUGAGUAGGAGUGGUUUCUCCCCAAGAAACCAACUGUAGAUUUUUUUUUAACAACAGCAAAGAGCUGUUUGUUUCUGUAUUUGUUUGGUUUUUUUUUUUUUUUUUCUGUUUUAAUGGAAAUUACACAUGAGAUGUGCCAGAUAAUCCUGGCAGAAAACACAUUGUGAACAGAAAAAAAUCUGGUUAGGAAAUAUGGUUCAUUUAGUAAAUUCAGAAUUAGAGCGAACUAGUAGCUUUCUUUGGUGAAAUGAAUUAUGAUAUGCUAUUGAAGGAGUCAUAUUAGGACAUAAAGAGGUAUCAACUCUCUUGAAAUAAAUUCUUACAGCUAAACUUAAAAUACUGAGACUGAAAAGAAAUUCAAUAGAAUCAGUAACCCCCAUGUCCUUAGAAAUUCUGUAUAUGUUUUGGGAUCAUGUAAAGAUCAUAUUGAAGGUUGUAAAGAAACAAAAUUUUAGGCCUAGUUGAAACCUGAUAAAAAGAUCAGAAUAAAAGUCAAAUAUACACAGGGAAUUGUAUAAGUUACCAACCUUAUAUAUAUGCAUAUUUGCUGAGGUACAGUGCACAUUAAUUGGCUAGUUAAUCUUUAUGAACUCUGUUUCUGUUAAUUGGAUAAUAAAAACAACUAAUGGGGGCAGGCGUUUAGCCUAGUGGUUAAGGUGCCCAUGUUCCACAUCAGAGUGCCUUGGUCUGAUUCCAGCCCUUGCUCCUGACUCCAGCUGUCUGCUAGUGCAGACCUUGGGAGGCAGUGGUGGCUCAAGUAAUUGGGUCCCUGCCAACCAUGUGGGAAACCUACACUGCAGUUUUGGCUCCUGGCUCCAGUUUUGCCCAGACCAGUGCAUGGGGGUUUUCUCUUGGUCUGUCAGUAUGGUGCCUCUCUCUCUCCCCCUCUCUCCCUCUCUCCCUCUCUCCCUCUCUCCCUCUCUCCCUUUCUGUCUGCCUCACAAGUAAAAACAUAAAAAGAGCUAACAUUUUAGUAGUGUAUGUAAUUUAUAGAUCACUUUUGCACUGUUUAUCUCAGUUGAGUAUAGUUUUCAAAGGUGAAGAUUUACAUUAGAAUGAAAAUCUUAUCUUCUGACUUCUAUCUUCAUAUCUCCUAUUGUCACUUCCCUGUUAGGUAUGGCCAUGUAAAUUAUUUGGAUACAAAAAAGCAAUUGGGUAAACUUCUCUUGACAUACAUAACAUGCCAACUAAAAAGAAAAUCUUCAUCUAUGGUAACGUACUCUUUCCACCUCCCUUUAUUAUGUAUUUUUUGCUCAGCUCAUGGAUAAGUCCAUGUCAGAGCACAGUAAAGACUGGUAAGAUGCUCCAAACCUGUUCUAUUGUCCCUUCUCCCUCCUCUUUCAUAACAGGUAGGAGUUUCAUUCCAAUUUUCUACAGUUUUUGAGUCAUUUUCUUAAUCUCUUGCAAAUGUAUGACAUCUUACUCUAAUAUAUACUUCAUCUCUUUUCUGUGCUGUCAAACUUCUAUCGUCCCUUUCCAAUUCAUUCAUUAAUUUAUCUACCUGUUCAGCUAAUACUUAUUGAUCAUCUUAAGUGCUGGGGCUUGUUUUUUAUGCCAAGAACCCAGCAAUAAAAGAAACAGAGAACACUGCCUGCCGUUCUGGAGUUUACAUCGCUUCUAAUAGAUCAAUCAUCAGGGCUGCUCAUUGCAUUACCCACCGGACACUACUCACAUGCUGGUCUGUGUGAAUAUUGCCCCUGGAGUUGUGCUGUACACAGCUGGCUCAGCUUUACACAAUGGUCCUGAUUUCUGUGCUUAGUAUUUUCAAAACUACUUUUCUAUGCUAAGAUAAGUUUCCAUGUUCCAACAUUUUCCAACGUUUGCCAGAGGAUGACCCUGCGCUUUGGGAAAGCAUGCAGUCCUCUCCUGCCGAGUGGAGGAGAGUUUUAUGGAGAAACCAUCUUUCCUCAGAUGAUCUACAUUAAGCCACUCUAAGAUUUACUUGCUGCUUCUUCCUGUAUUUUCAACAUUAUCAAACCCGUUUUUUUCCUGUGUCUUUGAUUACUUCUCUUUUUUCUUUUUUAAGAAAAUUUUUUACUUGUUUUCAUUUUAUUGAAAGAGAGAGAUCGUCUAUCCACUGGUUUAUUCCCCAAAAGCCCACAACAGCAGGGACUUGGCUAAGCCAAAACCAGAAGCUAGGAAAUCCAUCCAAGUCUCCCACAUGGGUACCAGGUACCCAUGUACUUGGGCCAUCACUUGCUGUCUCCCGGAGUGUACAUUCGCAGGAAGCUGGAUCAGAAGCAGAGUAGCAGGGACUCAAACACUCCAAUAUGGGAUCCCUGUGGGAACUUAACGGCCAUAGCAAACAACUGCCCCUCUUCUUUCCUUGCAUAGUAAGCCAUGGAUGUUUUCUUUUUUAAAAUGUUCUCAUUUAUUUGAAAGACAGUGUGACAGAGAGAGAUGUCUUCCAUCUGCUGGUUCACUUCCCAGAUGCCAGCAACAACUGGGGUUGGGCCAGGCUAAGCCAGGAGCCAGGAAUUCCAUACUUGUCUCCCACAUAGAUGACAGGGACCCACCCAACUACUUGGGCUCCUCUCAGAUGCAUUAUCAGGAAAGUAGAUUGGAAGUGCAGGGUAGCUGGGAUUCAGACUGUGCAUUCCCAAUAUGGGAUGUGGUCAUCCCAAGUAGCAGCUCAGCCCACUGCAUCUCAAUCCUGCCCUUGGAUGUUUUUUCAUGUUUCUUCCCCCUGACAGUGAUCAUAACAUAUAUUUUUUUAGCUGUGCAGUGUUUCUUCUACCUUAAUUUGUAGUCAGAAAAUACAGUAAGAAGUCUGUGCCCUGCAUUUUAAAAAGAAUUAUUUUAUUUUAUUUUAUUUUGAAAGUAGAGAGACCACCCUCUUAUCCUCUGAUUUAUUUCCCCAAAAUGCCUGCAACAGUCAGCUUGGGCCAGGAUGAAGUCAGGAGCCAGAAAUUCAAUCUGGAUCUUCCCUUGUGAAUAGCAGGGACCCAGCUACUUGCGCCAUCACCUGCUGCCACCCAGAGUGCACAUUAAUGAGAAACUGGAGUGGAGGUCAAAGCUGGAACUCAAACCUAGGCACGCCCAGUAUGGGAUGUGAGCAUCACAAGCAGUAGCUUCACCACUGUAUCAAAUGCCUACUCCUGUGUCCUGCAUGUUGAAGACAAAGUUGCAUUUCAAGUAUUUAUUAGCAAGAUAAAGGAGGAAAAAACUCCUGUUUUCCUUAUGAUCAAAAUAUGAACUGAGGUGCUGGUGCUGUGGCAUAGUGGGCUUGGUCUCUGCCUGCAGUGCCAGCACCCCAUAUGAGUGCUGGUUCGAGUUAUCGGCUGCUCCACUUCUGAUCCAGCUCUCUGCUAUGGCCUAGGAAGGCAGUAGAGGCUGGCCCAAGUGCUUGGGCCCCUUCACCUACAUGGGAGACCUAGAAGAAGCUCCUGGUUCCUGGCUUCAGAUAGGCCUAGCUCCAGCUGUGUGGCCAUUUGGGAAGUGGAUGGAAGACCUCUCUGUGUCUGUAACACUACCCCUCAAAUAAAUAAAUCUUUAAAAAAGAAAUGAACUGAAAAUACUUGUUAGUAAUAUUCCAUCUCUAACUUAGAAAAUAACUGAAUUUGACUAAGAAAGCAAUAAUGUCAAGACUCACUAUUAAAGUGAAAUGCGUGUUUAAAAAGAGUAAUUCUUUGUGCAUAUAGAGUAGAAAAACUUGAGAAGUAUGUUUACUUGCACAUUGUUGUCAUUAAAAUCAGAUGGAAAGGUUUAGAGAUUGUGCAAUUAAGGAAUGUUUUCUACCCACAAAUUCCCUAGCUAUGUGUUUCACAUUCAUAAACAAUUAGGCCUAAGGAUACUUGGAUUCAAAUCUGCUUUGGAAACUCAUUUUUGCAAAUAUUUAGUUUCCUAGAUCUUUACUGAAAUGAUCGACAACAUCAGGUAUCAACUGCACCAACAACUUUUCUCCAUGGGGUGAUCUGGUUUGUCUUUUGAUCUUUUCCAUAUCCAGCCUCUUAAAACUUCAUCUGUUACACAUCUCAUCUUUUGUAAUCCAGUGUGGGACCUCUAUUUGAAAUAGUUUUGGGAUAUAUGUUAAUUAUGUGUAAGACACAAAGGCUCCUGCUUUUCUAGCUAGCCUUACUUCCCUCUCAGCAUUUUUACUUGUUUCAUCAUUUUUAGACUUCAGACAUGAUUAACUCUCUCAACUCCUUUGUUUUUUUCAAUUGCCAUUCCCUAUUUUUAUUAUUAAACAACUGAAUGCCUUAACUCUAGGUAAUUUAACAUACAUCUUCACUGUUGAAGUGAAAUGGCACUUGUUGUUACCAGUGGCUUUUGAUGAAAAUGGAAACUAAUGUUUGUUGAGUACAACAAAUAUUACUUCUGUGGACCAUGCAGAAGACGCCUAUGCUAGACACUUGUAUAUGAAGUGUCUCAUGUAAUUUUCACAUCAGUUACAUAGAUAGCAGUAUUCCUUUCUUAAGAAAGAGAGAAGUGGGGCUGGCGCUGUGGCAUAGCGUGUAAAGCUGCUGCCUGCUGGCAUCCCAUAUGGGUGCCGGUUUGAGACCUGUCUGCUCCACUUCUGAUCCAGCUCUCUGCUAUGGCCUGGGAAGGCAAUGAAGGUGGCCCAAGUCCUUGGGCCCCUGCACCCAUAUGGGAGACUGGGAAGAAGCUUCUGGCUCCUGGCUCAUAUCUGCUCAGCUCUGCCGUUACAACCAUUUGGGGAGUGAACCAGCAGAUGGAAGGCCUCUCUCUCUGUCUCUGUCUCUGUCUCUCUCUCUCUUUCUCUCUCUGCCUCUGUAACUCUGCUUUUCAAAUAAAUAAAUAAAUCUUAAAAAAAAAAUAAGAGUAUGGGGCCAGUGCUGUGGUAUAAUGGGUUAAGACAGUCUGCAGCACCUUCAUCCCGUAUGGGAUCCAGUUCAAGUCCCAGCUGCUCCACUUCUGAUACAGCACUCUGCUAAUGUGCCUGGGAAAUCAAUGAAGGAUGGCCCAAGUGCUUGGGCCCUGCACCCAUGUGGGAGAUCUGGAAGAAACUCCUGACUCCUGGCUUCUGUCUUGCCCAGCUCUGGCCAUUGUGGCCAUUUGGGUAGUGAACCAGUAGAUGGAAGAUCUCUCUGUCUCUCUGUCUUUCCUUCUCUCUCUUUGUAACUCUGCUUUUCAAAUUCAAAAAAAAAAACACACACACACACACACAAGAGAGAAAGAGAAAAGUAGGGGUUAAAUAACUUGUCUUAGCUUCUAAGUAGCAUAUUCAUCCCCAAGUCCUUGCUCUUUCCCCUUUAACACACUUUUUGUAUUUCAACUUAUCUUUUUAUCUCUUCUUGAUUAAAAGGCCUCUCUGGGCUCUUUGUGACAUUAUUUUCUGCUCUCUGGUUCAGUUGGGUCCCCAUUGCUUUAAUUCCAGAUGGACAGGGUGGGGCAAUUCAUGUGAGUGGGGAUCUUUCAGUGUUACAUGCCACUGAGUUCUCAGGGUACAGGUGUGGCUUCACUUACAUAAUGCUCAUGGACAAUCUAUGAAAUGCCAAAGAAAUCGUACAUCAUGUACCUGUAACCCAUCUAUCGGCACAAGAAGCAUGUUUGCAAAAUGUAGACCAGCCUUCUAAUUUUAUGAAUCAUAGAGUCUGUUCAUAUUUUCUACCCACUCACCACCAGGUCUAAUCAGCUCUUAUUUUCUAAUAUGCUGCCAGAGUGGUUUUCAAAUGUUGCAGAAAAAAGAGGCUCCAACUUGAUUAUUUGCUUUGAAAAAAUACCAUUUGUUUCUAGGGGUGCAAAACUUCUCAAAAAGUAUACAAUGUAAAUUCAGUGCAGUGUUUAGAAAGCCAGUACCUCAGAGCAAGUUAGCUUCUAAGCUAUUUCCUUAUGUGUAAGAUCAGAAAAAUACAACUACUUAGUCCAUAGGGAUGUGUGAGGAUAAAUGAGGUAAUAUUUAUGAAAGAGCUAUGUAAGCUGUAAAAGAAUCCCCACUGUAACUGGUAGGCAAUGAAAGCACAGACAGUGUGAUACUUUUACUUAUAGCUCUGAUAUACCUAAAAGGGUUAAGAUUAUAAGGGAAGAAAUUUUCUUGAAAAUAGAGGUGACUUAUUUCUUCAAAAAAACUGUACUUUAGUCCCUUGACUUUAUUUAUUUAUUUAUUUAAAAGGCAGAAUUACUGAGAGAAAGAGAAAGACAGAGAGAAUCUUCUAUCCACUGGCUUAUUCACCAAAUGGCUACAAUACUGGGGCUGGGCCAUGCCAAAACCAGAAUCCUACAACUGCAUCCCUGUCUCCCACAUGAGUGGCAGGAGCCCAAGCACUUGGGCCAUCUUGUGCUGCUUUUCCUGGUGCGUUUCCUAGGGAACUGGAUCAGAAGUGGAGCAGCCAGGACUCGAACUGGAGUUCUAUGAGAUCCUGGUAUCAUAGGCAGUGACUUAACCCACUGCACUACAAUGCUGGCCCCUUAAUUUUGUUUUUUUUUAACACAUGUCCAUGCGAAGGUAUUUAUACUGAAUGGGGGAAAAAAAAAAACCUUUGGCCAUCUAUGCCUCAUCCUUUCUUGUUAAAUGCCCACUCAGAGGACUCUUUAGGAAAGUGUUGACGUCAAAGAGAUCUAGAUCAAAAUUCUGGCUCUGUCACUUGUUAGAUCACUCUGGACAAAUAAUUUCCAUAAUCAAACAUUUCAGAGUUAAUGAGCUAAAAUUUUUCAUCCUUCCUUCUCCCUUAGAUCUUUGUUCUUUGCUUGACCUUUAAUUGGUUUGCUGGUGUCACCCUCUGUUCAGUUGCUUGAGAUUAAUCACAGUGAUUUCUACUUUCUCAUUCACCACACUGACUAAUUAAUUGAACAAGUUCUGCUGAUACUACCUCCUACAUUAAUACUUCUGGUCUUGCACUAGCCCAUAUGGUAGCUACUAGUUAGUGUGGUAUUGUGCACUUAAAACAUGGCUAACCGAAUUGAGAUGUGCUCUAAGUGGGAAGUACAAACUGGAGUUCAAAACAGUAUAAAAAUGAUUUUUAAGUUUCAGUAAAUUUAUAAUAAUUUCAUAUUGAAACAAUAUUUUGAUACAGUGAGUUCAACAAAAUAUACUAAUACUUAAGUCACAUGUUCCUUUUCUUAGUGUAGCCACUAAAUUUAGUUACAUUUGUAGCUCAUAUGAUAUUUCUUUUUUUUUAGAUUGAUUUAUUUAUUUGAAAGGCACAGUUACAGAGAGAGAGAAAGAGAGAGAGAGAGAGAUUUUCCUUCUACUAUUCACACUCCAGAUAGCUGCAAUGGCCAAGGCUGGGCCAGGCUGAAGACAGGAACCAGGAGCUUUAUCCGAGUCUCCCUCAUGGGUAGCAGGGGCCCAAAUACUUAAGCUACCCUCUGCCCUAUGCUGCUCUCCCAGGCCAUUAACAAGAAGCUGAAUUGGAAGUGGAGCAACCUAGACGUGAACCAGCACCCAUACGGGAUACUGGUGUUGCAGGCAGCGACUUUACCCACCACACCACAGCACCAACCCCUCAUAUGAGAUUUCUCAUGGACAAUGUUGCUCUAUUAUGUUCUGUUCUAUCUUAGCAUCUUUUAUCUCUUGCUGUUGUGAAUGUCUAAUAAUUGACCUCCCUAUAUUCUGAAUCUCAAAGAGAAUGUUCUUUCUGAAAUCUGAAAGUGUCACUUGUCUGCUACUGCUGCCCUUCAGAGGCAUCUCGUCACAAAACCCAAGGUACUAUGUGCCCUAUGAAAGAAUAUCAUGAUUAUUUGACUCUUGUCUACCUCUCAGCCUCAUCUCUCACCUCUCCUCAGCUCCUUCUUCCAUCUUGGACUGUAUACUCUGCUGAUCCUAAAAUGCCUGUUUUCCCCUCAGCAUAUCGUUCUGUUUCACUGAUCUCUUUCUUUGCAUUGCUGAUUCUUUAAUCUAGCAUACUCUUGCCACCCCUCCUCCAUGUGACUAGGGAGUUCCAUUUUAGCUUUCAAAGCUUCUUGUAGGUAACCAGAUUCAAUGGUUCUGUUUCCUGAUGCCAGCUUCCAGCGUAUUGUAGGAGGCCGCAGAUGAUAGCUCAAGUAAUUAAGUCCCUGACAACCAUAUGGGAGACCUGGAUUGGGUUCCCCAGAACUGACCAUUGCAGGCAUUUAGGGGAAGGAACCAGCAGGUGGGUGUACACUCGCUCUCGGAAUUCUCCCAAAUAAUAACAACUUUCCAUAGGUUCCUCUUUUCUCCCACCCUUAUGGUGGGUCCACCACUACUUUUUGUUUGCUCUCACUGAGCCCUAAGCUCUGUGAAGGGAGGGACCAUGGCUUGUUCACAUUGUAUCCACUUAUGCUUUGGAUAACACCUGGAGCUCAGCAGGUACAUUCAUUUGAUAAAUGUUUGUGUCAUUUGAAUUGCAUUGCAUUAGAAUCAUUUUUAUUACAGUAAUUUAUUUAUAUGUCUCCCUACUGUGGAAUGAGUGGGGGUAGGAGGGCAAGUAUGGUAGGAAGAAUCAACUAUAUUCCUAAAGUUGUUCUUAUGAAAUUUGUACUCAUUGAAUAAAAGGUUUCUUGGGGUUGGGGGGGGGGGAUUUCUCCCUGUCUGCCUCCUCUCUCUCUCCGCCUCACACACUAUCAUUCUGCUUUUCAAAUACAUCUUAAAAGUGGGGAGUUCUCCCCAAAAUACAACCUGAAGUAAAAUUGGUACCCCAGGAAGAUAUGCCAUGUUUAUUCUGUGGCUUCAAUCAUCUCCAACAUAUUGCCAAUUACUGGUUUGUAUACUCGAGUUGAGAACUAUAAUGUUAGACUUUCCAACAAAAUACUUAGGGGUAUCCUGCAAUUUACUUAAGAAGAAUGGAUCAGAGCUACUAAUGGGGCCAGCAUUGUGGUAUAGUAGGUUAAGCCGCCAUCUGCAAUGCCAGCAUCCCAUACUAGUGCCGCUGGUUUGAGUCCCAGCUCCUCCACUUCCUAUUC